rnacentral:lncRNA from 1 species
UUUUGUUUUUUGUUUUGUAUUUUGUCAUGUCAUGCUUUUUUUUAUCAUGUCAUCAUGUGCAUUGCAUUCGCAUACGUGUUCGUCUCAUGCAUCCGAGCAUUUUCCCCGUUGUCCGUUUUCCAAUCCGGCGCUCCUAUCUCCUCCGGUGCACCCCUCUUGUUUUCUUUUGUGUGCGUGUGUCAAACUUUCUCGGAAUGGACCGAGGCUUGUCAAGUGGUCUUAAUAUACCACCCAGAGACUACCGGUCAAGUUUCGUUCCAUUCGGAGGCCUUUUGGUACUCCAACGGUUAACCGGGCAUCCGCAAAGUCCAUUUGAGUAUCCAGCAAAAAAACCCCUCUAAAACCAGCCCAAAACCCACCAAACUCUCUUCCAUGCUCUAUGCUCUAGGUCGUUCGAUCACGAUCGUGUGGGUGAAAACCGCACCUCAUUUGGAGCCUCCUAGCUCCCUCUAUCUAUUUAUAAGUGGGCAUCCCGAAAAACGCAACUGCAGACGAACCCUAGAAAUUUUCCCACCGCCCGCGCCGGACAUCGUCCGCCGCGCGCCCGGCCAACCGGAGCGCNNNNNNNNNNNNNNNNNNNNNNNNNNNNNNNNNNNNNNNNNNNNNNNNNNNNNNNNNNNNNNNNNNNNNNNNNNNNNNNNNNNNNNNNNNNNNNNNNNNNNNNNNNNNNNNNNNNNNNNNNNNNNNNNNNNNNNNNNNNNNNNNNNNNNNNNNNNNNNNNNNNNNNNNNNNNNNNNNNNNNNNNNNNNNNNNNNNNNNNNNNNNNNNNNNNNNNNNNNNNNNNNNNNNNNNNNNNNNNNNNNNNNNNNNNNNNNNNNNNNNNNNNNNNNNNNNNNNNNNNNNNNNNNNNNNNNNNNNNNNNNNNNNNNNNNNNNNNNNNNNNNNNNNNNNNNNNNNNNNNNNNNNNNNNNNNNNNNNNNNNNNNNNNNNNNNNNNNNNNNNNNNNNNNNNNNNNNNNNNNNNNNNNNNNNNNNNNNNNNNNNNNNNNNNNNNNNNNNNNNNNNNNNNNNNNNNNNNNNNNNNNNNNNNNNNNNNNNNNNNNNNNNNNNNNNNNNNNNNNNNNNNNNNNNNNNNNNNNNNNNNNNNNNNNNNNNNNNNNNNNNNNNNNNNNNNNNCUCGCCGCCGCCGCCAUCGCCGCCGGCCGGCCCAGCCGCCUCCGCCGCUGUAUCUUGCUCUGUUCCCGAUGCGAUAACUUUGUGCAUGUAGCUCCGAUUCGCGCGUGUAAUAUGUUAAAUUGUUCGUCUCGUGAUGCUCUUCAUUUUGUUCAAUUGCACCAUGUUCAUUAGAGGUCAUCUUGAUGCCCAAAUCUUCGUUGUAAGAGGGCUAGUUGCUGUUAAUCUCUGGUUCUUAUCAGAACUUGGAGAUUUGUCAUUUUUGUAUCAUUUAUUCUGUGCAUCUUUUGGGCAUGAGCUCUACAUGUGUUUUGAAGUAUGCCAUGCCAUAUUUCCAGUGGUAUAGUCCAUGUAUUUUUGUGAUCUCUGUGGUGACUAGCACAAGCAUGCAAAGCAGGCCCCGUAAUAUUUCUGAUUUCAGGGACUUAGUGAUUUCUCUAAGUCUUUGUCUGCUGUAAUUUUGUUGCCAUGUAAACUUGAUGCUACAGAGAUAUCCAUGCAUAUUUUGGAGAUGUUCAGUAAGGAUGUUUUGAAGCUAUAGUUGUAGUUGAUCCAUUUCUGCAAUUGUUUGGAAUUUUAGAGUGCCAUAGCAUGACCCAAUCUUUCUCUACGUUUGCUAUAAAAUAUUUCUGGCAGAUUCUUAACAUGACAUGCAUUUUUGCGUUGCUCUGUAGUGAGUGCAUCAAGCUCACAAAGAGGCCUACAUAUUAAUAUUUCUGCCAUGCUCUAUUUUUUUGUUGUCUGAAACCUGAUAACGAAACUUGCUAUGUUUACAUGCUUGCCAUCAUAUCUUCUGGUCCUUUUUGGCUUAUGGUCAUUAAGGGACUUUUGUCAUGUGCAUUUAGUAGAACACUACCAUGCCUUAUUUUGCUAUGUUGAGUUCCUGUAGCAUGUUGAUUUCGUGCUCUGAACAUUGCUACCUGAUGCUGUUUACUGUCAUGUCCAGUUUUUCACUAAGUCUGUGAACCUGUAAUCUUUUGCACUUUUGCCAUGCUUGUUUGAGCUUGAUAUGUUGUGAACUAGCAGUAGCUCAGUGUUCAUCUUUUGUCAAGCAUCUCCUGUAGAUUACUGUCAUGUGCUUUGUUGCUAUGUUGGGUUGCUGUAGCAUUGUUGUUUGUUGCAUUUUAAGUGCUAUCUUGCUGUUUAUCGCAGAUUAGUGUCGUUCUUGUUUUGCUUGCCAUUUGCAAACCGUGCAUCCGAUUCCGGUGAUCUUUAUAUCGAUUUCGACCGAAAUCAUCUCAUCUUUCCAGUGGCAUACUUGGUUUGCCAAGUUACUGCCAUGUUCAUCAUUUUCCUUCCGGAGCACGCAUAUGCAUCGCAUAUCAUAUCUUGCAUAUCAUACAUGUCUUGUAUCAUGUUGCUUGCGCAUUUCUCGUUGUUGAUUGUGGUUCCGUUUGUUUGUGUUCUUGUCUUGGGUAGAGCCGGGAGACGAGUUCGUGAACGAGGAACCUGUCGAGUACGCUUACGAGGAUCAAGCUUUCGACAACUCUGAGAAUCUUGCAGGCAAGAUGACCACCCCUCGAAAUCACUUCUAUCUUUGCUAUGCUAGUUGUUCGCUCUAUUGCCAUGCUCGCUACCUAUCACUUGCUAUAUCAUGUCUCCUAUUUUUAGCCAUGUCAGCCUCUAACCAUCCUCUCCUAGCAAACCGUUGUGUGGCUAUGUUACCGCGUUUGCUCAGCCCCUCUUAUAGCGUUGCUAGUUGCAGGUGAAGUUGAAGUUUGUUCCAUGUCGGAACAUGGAUAUGUUGGGAUAUCACAAUAUCUCUUAUUUAAUUAAUGCAUCUAUAUAUUUUGGUAAAGGGUGGAAGGCUCGGCCUUAUGCCAGGUGUUUUGUUCCACUCUUGCCGCCCUAGUUACUGUUAUGCCGGGAUUAUGUUCCUUGAGUUUGCGUUCCUUACGCGGUCGGGUGAUUUAUGGGACCCCCUUGACAGUUCGCCUUGAAUAAAACUCCUCCAGCAAGGCCCAACCUUGGUUUUACCAUUUGCUACCUAAACCUUUUCCCCCGGGUUUUCGCGAGCCCGAGGGUCAUCUUAUUUUAACCCCCCCGGGCCAGUGCUCCUUCGAGUGUUGGUCCGAACUGAGCAGACUGCGGGGCCCCCUCCUGGAAACUCGAGGUCUGGUUUUACUCGUAGGAUGUCUCAUCCGGUGUGCCCUGAGAACGAGAUAUGUGCAGCUCCUAUCGGGAUUUGUCGGCACAUUCGGGUGGCUUUGCUGGUCUUGUUUUACCAUUGUCGAGAUGUCUUGUAAACCGGGAUUCCGAGACUGAUCGGGUCUUUCCGGCUGAAGGUUUAUCCUUCGUUGACCGUGAGAGCUUAUGAUGGGCUAAGUUGGGACACCCCUGCAGGGUAUUAUCUUUCGAAAGCCAUGCCCGCGGUUAUGAGGCAGAUGGGAAUUUAUUAAUGUCCGGUUGUAGAUAACUUGUCACUUGACCUAAUUAAAAUACACCAAGUGCGUGUGUAGCCGUGAUGGUCUCUUCUCGGCGGAGUCCGGGAAGUGAACACGGUCUGUGUUAUGGAUGACGUAAGUAGGUGUUCAGGAUCACUUCUUGAUCAUCGCUAGAUGACGUCCGUUCCGUUGCUUCUCUUCUCGCUCUCAUUUGCGCAAGUUAGCCACCAUAUAUGCUUUUGCCGCUGCAGCUCCACCUCUUUGCACCUCCUUGUCCUAUAAGCUUAAAUAGUCUUGAUCUCGCGGGUGUGAGAUUGCUGAGUCCCCGUGACUCACAGAUACUUCCAAAACAGUUGCAGGUGUCGACGAUGCCAGUGCAGAUGAUGGCGUCGAUCUCAAGUGGGAGUUCGACAAGGAACGUGGUCGUUAUUAUGUGUCUUUUCCUGAUGAUCAGUAGUGGAGCCCAGUUGGGACGAUCGGGGAUCUAGCAUUUGGGGUUGUCUUAUUUUCAUCUGGAUUUUGACCGUAGUCGGUCUAUAUGAUUGUAUUUUGGAUGAUGUAUUGAAUUAUUUUUAUGUAUUGUGUGAAGUGGCGAUUGUAAGCCAACUCUUUAUCCCAUUCUUGUUCAUUACAUGGGAUUGUGUGAAGAUGACCCUUCUUGCGACAAAACCACUAUGCGGUUAUGCCUCUAAGUCGUGCCUCGACACGUGGGAGAUAUAGCCGCAUCGUGGGCGUUACAAGUUGGUAAUCAGAGCCAUCCCCGACUUAGGAGCCCCCUGCUUGAUCGAAUCGUGGCAUUGUUGAGUCUAGAAUAAAAAAUGUUUUGAGUCUUAGGAUUAUAUAUAUCGGAGAGUAGGAUUCUUUUUACUCCUCAGCCCCUUCGUCGCUCUGGUGAGGUCUCCUGACGUAGAAGUUUUGACUACUCUCUCCUCAAAUUUCACUAAAAAAAAUUUGGAUCACGCGGGUAUCUUGGAAUCGUUCCGAUCGAUUUGUGACGAGAACAUUGUUCUUGGUGCCUCCUGUCAUUUAGGGGUUGUGGCAGUGUCCCGGGGAGUUGAGCUCCGAGGUGUUGUCGUCACAAUUUUAUCGUUGCAGUUCUGGAAUACCUGGGUUUCGCCGACAUCGAAAUCUCUUUUAUGCAGUUGUUGGUGAGAUCACCUCGACGCCACCCAGUACUGGGGCGGGAGUUCGGGAGUAUUGCCAUAACUUGUAUAACGGAUGUUUUUCGAAGGUUGAGGUAAACGAUUUCCGAAGGUUUCUUGGUUAUGUGUUCACGGAUGGAUACAGCUAGAUCUAGGGAUUGCUAGUUUGGGUGAUAUAUAUUUGUGUCCCCUGUAUCCCCUACACCAGAUUGCAUAACCAGAAAGUUUCGGGAAUUUAUAAGUGGGAAUUCAAGUAGCCUUAGGAUAUCUUUCCGACAGACGCAUGAUAUGAGAUUGGGGUUCGACGUCUAGUGGUCCGCCUGUAUACGGUUGAUUUUACAGUGGUCUCGUUGUGUCUUAAAGAGUCCAUGGCUUUGCCGACUCGGGGACGCUUCGUAUGUCAUGUGCACAGCCUUGUACAUGAUGGUGCUGUACGAUUGAGCCCGUGUGGGCCCCACCACGAAAACUUCGGACGAAAUAUCUAUCAUAUGUUUGUUCCGGCUUAUUCUGCAAGCCAAUACUUGGUUUUAUUUUGUAUUGUGGUAUUCGAGUUGCUUCGAAUUCAUAUGUUCAUUCCAUAUCUUUUUCAAGUGGCUUCUCAACUUAUGGAAGUGUGAUGAUUUACUACGGAAUUCAUUCGCUCAUCUUCGUUCGAAUGUUUGUUGUGAAGACUAUAUGUUGCAAUUUCUGUCCGUUGAUUCUACUUAUCUAUUUGUCUAUCAAGAUGCUAACGGAUGUCACCCUCUUCAGGAUGGCUCCGCCAACGCGUCAGAAUCCGGAUCGCAAUGAAGGGAGUCAAGCGAACCCUCCGCCACCACCUCCACCUCCGGAGGCAUGGCAAGCAAUCAUGGCAGCCACCAACGCCAAUGCUCAGAUGAUUCUGCAACUCUUGCAAGAACGUACUCAAGGGCAAGGCAAUCAAGGCAAUCAAGGUCAAGGCAACAAUCAGUUUCACUUUGCCACUCUCAACCAGUUUCUCGCAAAUCAGCCCAAGUCUUUCAGCUAUUGUGCCGAGGCCACGGAUGCCGAUGAUUGGCUCGUGGACAUCAACAAGCAUUUUGAAUGUAGCAAUGUCAGGCCUGAGGACUUUGUCAAGUUCGCUUCUUUCCAGCUCAAGGACCAAGCUGCUGAUUGGUUCCAGCAAAACAAAGAUUCCAGAGGAGGUCGUGUGAUCACUUGGACUGACUUCUGUCGGGACUUCAAAGCGCACCACAUUCCACAAAGUGUUGUCGAGAGCAAGCGUGAGGAGUUCCGCAAUCUCAAGCAAGGAAACAUGUCUGUGUAUCAAUACAACAUUCAGUUUCAGAAACUUGCUCGCUUCGCUAAACAAGACGUUCCUGAUGAGAAGAGCAUGAUCUAUCACUUUAGAGGUGGCCUUAAAGAGGAUCUGCAGUUAGCUCUUGUUCUUGUUGAGCCUACUCACUUUGAUCAAUUCUACAAUAUGGCACUGAAGCAAGAGGCUGCUCAGCUCAAGUGUGAGGCCUCUAAGAAAAGAGUCAGGGACCCAGUUCAGUCUUCUUCUUCCUCACUUGUGACAGCUAAGCAACAGAAGUUCUGGUUGCCUCCUCCUCCUCCGUUUCGUCAGCCUUACCAGCAGAAGAACAAAGGUGGCCAUGGUUCUUCAAACUCUUCCAACUCUGGCUAUCAGAACAAGUCUCAGAAUCAAGCUCCCAAGUCCAAUGCUCCUUAUCACCGUCCACUCUCAGAGGUGACUUGCAACAAAUGUCAGCAGAAAGGUCACUAUGCUAACAAGUGCUUCAACCAGAGGCGUCUUCCUCCUCCUCCUGUCAGAUCUUCCAGCAAUGCAGUGGUCAAGCUUAACCCAAAGUUUGCAAAGGUGAACAUGAUGAAUGCAGCCCAAGCGGAGGAAUCUACUGAUGUGAUAAUGGGUAAUCUCUCAAUUAAUGAUAUUCCUGCAAAAAUUCUUUUUGAUAUUGGUGCAUCGCAUUCUUUCUUGUCAUACCCAUUUGCAUCGAAGCACAAUGUUGACACAGAGAUUUUAUCCAAAGUUAUGCAAGUUGUUUCUCCGGGUAAGCUUUUGUCGUCUAGUUUGGUUGCUCCCGAUGUCUCCAUCAAGAUGGGCGACUAUAGAUUCCAGUCUUCUCCAAUUGUUCUUGGUGACUCGGAUAUUGAUCUUAUUCUCGGGAUGGACUGGCUUUCUAAGCACAAGGCUCAACUUGAUUGUGCUGCCAGGGAAAUUCAAUUGACACACUCGUCUGAGGAUGUGAUUGUUUUUGCCGCUCGUGAUGAAACCAUUCGGUUUUUCUCUCUCAAUGAGAAGGGCGAAUUGGAUGCCAUCUCUCAAAUUCCAGUCGUUUGCGAGUAUCAAGAUGUCUUUCCAGAAGAGCUUCCGGGUAUGCCUCCGCACCGGCCAGUUGAGUUCGUUAUCGAACUAGAGCCCGGUAUUGUACCCGUUUGCAAGCGUCCAUACAAGCUUGGACCCAACGAGCUGAAGGAAUUGAAGAAGCAGCUCGAUGAACAAGAACGUCUGGGUUUGAUCAGACCGAGUUCUUCUCCAUGGGGUUGUGGUGUUCUUUUUGUCAAGAAGAAGGAUGGCACGGACCGACUUUGUGUCGACUACCGUCCAUUGAACAAGAAGACAAUCAAGAACAAGUAUCCACUUCCCAACAUCAAUGAGCUUUUUGAGCAACUCAAAGGGGCUAAAGUAUUCUCGAAGCUUGACCUUCGUAUGGGUUAUCAUCAGAUUCGCAUUCAUGAAGAAGAUAUUCCCAAGACAGCAUUCAGAACAAGCUUUGGUUCUUAUGAAUAUACUGUCGUGUCUUUCGGCCUUGUCAAUGCUCCUCCGGUGUUCUCUCGGAUGAUGAAUUUCAUCUUCAACCCCUAUACCAAUGAAUUCGUUCUGGUGUAUCUCGAUGAUACCUUGGUCUUCUCCAAGAACAAGCAGGAUCACGCCAAACAUUUGCGAUUGGUGCUCGACAAGCUCAGAGAGUAUCAAUUCUAUGCGAAGUUCUCCAAAUGUGAGUUUUGGCUCGAUGAAGUUCUUUUCCUUGGUCACAUCAUCUCUGCCAAAGGCAUCGCUGUUAACCCCGAGAAGGUGUCCGCAGUUCUGGAUUGGGAACCUCCUCAAAAUGUCUAGCAGCUCCGCAGUUUUCUGGGUCUUGCAAGUUAUUGCCGAAGAUUCGUUGAGAAUUUUUCCAAGAUUGCAAAGCCUCUUUCCAACCUCCUACAGAAGCAUGUGAAAUAUGUCUGGUCUCCUGAGUGUGACGUUGCUUUCAACACUCUCAAAGAGAAACUAGUCACAGCUCCUGUCUUGACUCCUCCUGAUGAAUCCAAGCCGUAUGAAGUUUUCUGUGAUGCUUCUCUCCAAGGUCUCGGUGCUGUGUUAAUGCAAGAGAAGAAAUUUGUGGCCUAUACCUCUCGGCAGUUGAAGCCCAACGAGAAGAACUACCCCACUCACGAUCUUGAGUUGGCGGCGGUUGUCCAUGCAUUGGUUACGUGGAGACAUCUCUUGUUGGGAAGACAAGUGGACAUUUUCACUGAUCACAAGAGUCUCAAGUAUAUCUUCACUCAGCCCAACCUCAACCUCAGGCAGACUCGAUGGGUCGAAAUGAUUCAAGAGUACAAUCCGAGUAUCGAAUAUACUCCAAGCAAGGCUAAUGUCAUUGCAGAUGCUUUAAGCAGGAAAGCUUAUUGCAACAGCUUAAUUAUCAAGCCUUUCCAACCGGAUCUUUGUGAAGCUUUCCGCAAGCUGAAUCUCCAAGUUGUUCCUCAAGGCGUUCUUGCCAACCUCAUAGUAUCUCCUACUCUGGAAGAUCAAAUUCGUGAGGCACAACUCCUUGAUGCCAUGGUGAAGAAGGUGAAACGUGGUAUCGACAAGGGUCUUUCCAAAUACAAGUGCUAUCGCAUUGAUGACAGAGACACUUUGUUCUUCGAGGACCGGAUUGUGGUUCCGAAAGGUGAUCUAAGGAAAGUCAUAAUGAACGAAGCGCACAAUUCUCUCCUUUCCAUUCAUCCUGGAAGUACGAAGAUGUAUCAUGACCUCAAGCAGUCGUAUUGGUGGACUCGAAUGAAGCGAGAAAUUGCUCAAUUCGUGAAUGAAUGUGAUGUCUGCCGAAGAGUUAAAGCAGAACACCAACGACCAGCUAGUCUCCUCCAACCUCUUGCUAUCCCAGAAUGGAAGUUUGAUCAUAUCGAAAUGGACUUCGUGACUGGUUUUCCAAAGUCUAAGCGCGGAAAUGAUGCUAUCUUCGUUGUCAUCGACAAGCUUUCUAAAGUGGCUCAUUUCCUUCCAAUCAAAGAAUCCAUCACAGCAGCUCAGCUGGCAGAGCUCUACACCUCCAGAAUUGUCUCCUUGCACGGCAUUCCACAAUUGAUUUCUUCAGAUCGUGGAAGCAUCUUCACCUCUAAGUUCUGGGACUCCUUCCAGAAGGCCAUGGGCACAAAUAUUCGCUUCAGCACAGCUUUCCAUCCUCAAACUAGUCGCCAAGUCGAGCGAGUCAAUCAAAUUCUUGAAGAUAUGCUCAGGGCUUGUGUCAUUUCCUUUGGCAUAAAAUGGGAAGAUUGUCUUCCAUAUGCUGAAUUCUCCUACAACAACAGCUUCCAAGCGAGUUCGGGCAAGGCCCCAUUCGAGAUUCUCUAUGGCAGAAAGUGCCGUACUCCUCUUAAUUGGUCAGAGACUGGUGAACGCCAACUUCUUGGCAAUGACUUAAUCACUGAAGCUGAAGAAAUGUGUAAAGUCAUCCGUGAUAAUCUCAAAGCCGCGCAAUCGCGCCAGAAGAGCUACUAUGAUAGUAAGCAUCGUGAUUCGGCUUUCGAGAUCAGAGACCAUGUCUACCUCCGCGUCUCUCCAAUGAAAGGCACUCGUCGCUUCGGUAUCAAAGGGAAGCUUGCCCCUAGAUACGUGGGUCCUUUCAAGAUCAUUGGCAAAAGAGGCGACCUCGCCUAUCAACUUGAGCUUCCUUCCAACUUCGCGAACGUGCACGAUGUGUUCCACGUGUCACAGCUCCGCAAGUGCUUCAAGACGCCUGAGCGCACUAUCGACUUCGAAGAGAUUGACCUCCAAGAAGAUUUGUCUUAUCAUGAGCACCCAGUUGCUAUUCUUGAAGAAGCUGAGCGCAAGACUCGCAACAAGUCUAUCAAAUUCCUGAAAAUGAAGUGGUCGCACCAUUCCGACCGGGAAGCCACCUGGGAACGCGAGGACCAUCUCCGUUCCGAAUAUCCGGAGUUCUUUCAGUCCUAGAUCUCGGGACGAGAUCCUCUCGUGGUGGUGGAGUGUUGUAACACCCCGCAUGUAACUUGCCAUAUUUGUAACUCCGACUCUUGCCAUUUUAGGCUAUGUGAUAUGUUUUUCCCUCCGUUGUCGGGUUUUGUUUUUCGUUUUGUAUUUUGUCAUGUCAUGCAUUUUUUUUAUCAUGUCAUCAUGUGCAUUGCAUUCGCAUACGUGUUCGUCUCAUGCAUCCGAGUAUUUUCCCCGUUGUCCGUUUUCCAAUCCGGCGCUCCUAUCUCCUCCGGUGCACCCCUCUUGUUUUCUUUCGUGUGCGUGUAUCAAACUUUCUCGGAAUAGACCGAGGCUUGUCAAGUCGUCUUAAUAUACCACCCGGAGACUACCGGUCAAGUUUCGUUCCAUUCGGAGGCCGUUUGGUACUCCAACGGUUAACCGGGCAUCCGCAAAGCCCAUUUGAGUAUCCAGCAAAAACCCCCUCUAAAACCAGCCCAAAACCCACCAAACUCUCUUCCAUGCUCUAGGUCGUUCGAUCACGAUCGUGUGGGCGAAAACCGCACCUCAUUUGGAGCCUCCUAGCUCCCUCUACCUAUUUAUAAGUGGGCAUCCCGAAAAACGCAACUGCAGACGAACCCUAGAAAUUUUCCCACCGCGCCGCCGGACGCGUCCGCCCGCGCCGGACAUCGUCCGCCGCGCGCCCGGCCAACCGGANNNNNNNNNNNNNNNNNNNNNNNNNNNNNNNNNNNNNNNNNNNNNNNNNNNNNNNNNNNNNNNNNNNNNNNNNNNNNNNNNNNNNNNNNNNNNNNNNNNNNNNNNNNNNNNNNNNNNNNNNNNNNNNNNNNNNNNNNNNNNNNNNNNNNNNNNNNNNNNNNNNNNNNNNNNNNNNNNNNNNNNNNNNNNNNNNNNNNNNNNNNNNNNNNNNNNNNNNNNNNNNNNNNNNNNNNNNNNNNNNNNNNNNNNNNNNNNNNNNNNNNNNNNNNNNNNNNNNNNNNNNNNNNNNNNNNNNNNNNNNNNNNNNNNNNNNNNNNNNNNNNNNNNNNNNNNNNNNNNNNNNNNNNNNNNNNNNNNNNNNNNNNNNNNNNNNNNNNNNNNNNNNNNNNNNNNNNNNNNNNNNNNNNNNNNNNNNNNNNNNNNNNNNNNNNNNNNNNNNNNNNNNNNNNNNNNNNNNNNNNNNNNNNNNNNNNNNNNNNNNNNNNNNNNNCCUCCCCCGGCGACCGGCGCCACCGCCUCGCCCUUCUCCUCCUCCGGCCAGGCCCGCCGGCCCCUGCCUCGUCGUCGCCGUCGGCAGCUCGAGGAGCUCGGGUUCGAUCCGAUCUGGUGAGACCCGUUGACUUCCCUCGCGCCCGUUUUUUCCCAAGUCUUGAGAUUUCCUCAGUAUCUUGCCCUGUUCCCGAUGCGAUAACUUUGUGCAUGUAGCUCCGAUUUGCGCGUGUAAUAUGUCAAAUUGUUCGCCAAGUGAUGCUCUUCAUUUUGUUCAAUUGCGCCAUAUUCAUUAGAGGUCAUCUUGAUGCCCAAAUCAUCGUUGUAAGAGGGCUAGUUGCUGUUAAUCUCUGGUUCUUAUCAGAACUUGGAGAUUUGUCAUUUUUGUAUCAUUUAUUCUGUGCAUCUUUUGGGCAUGAGCUCUACAUGUGUUUUGAUGUAUGCCAUGCCAUCUUUCCAGUGGUAUAGUCCAUGUAUUUUUGUGAUCUCUGUGGUGACUAGCACAAGCAUGCAAAGCAGGCCCCGUAAUAUUUCUGAUUUCAGGGCCUUAGUGAUUUCUCCAAGUCUUUGUCUGCUGUAAUUUUGUUGCCAUGUAAACUUGAUGCUACAGAGAGAUCCAUGCAUAUUUUGGAGAUGUUCAGUACGUAUGUUUUGAAGCUAUAGUUGUAGUUGAUCUAUUACUGCAAUUGUUUGCAAUUUUAGAGUGCCAUAGCAUGACCCAAUCUUGGUCUACGUUUGCAAUAAAAUAUUUCUGGCAGAUUCUUAACAUGACAUGCAUUUUUGCCAAACUUAUUGUAGUUUAUCCAUACAUGCUAUGCAAUUGUUCUUGCCAUGAAUAGCUUCAUAAACAUACCAUCUUGCGGUAGGUAUGCUUGGUUUGUCAUGCAUUGCUCUGUAGUGAGUGCAUCAAGCUCACAAAGAGGCCUACAUAUUAAUAUUUCUGCCAUGCUCUGUUUUUCUGUUGUCUGAAACCUGAUAACGAAACUUGCUAUGUUUACAUGCUUGCCAUCAUAUCUUCUGGUCCUUUUUGGCUUAUGGUCAUUAAGGGACUUUUGUCAUGUGCAUUUAGUAGAACACUACCAUGCCUUAUUUUGCUAUGUUGAGUUCCUGUAGCAUGUUGAUUUCGUGCUCUGAACAUUGCUACCUGAUGCUGUUUACAGUCAUGUCCAAUUUUUCACUAAGUCUGUGAACCUGUAAUCUUUUGCACUUUUGCCAUGCUUGUUUGAGCUUGAUAUGUUGUGAACUAGCAGUAGCUCAGUGUUCAUCUUUUGUCAAGCAUCUCCUGUAGAUUACUGCCAUGUGCUUUGUUGCUAUGUUGGGGUGCUGUAGCAUUGUUGUUUGUUGCAUUUUAAGUGCUAUCUUGCUGUUUAUCGCAGAUUAGUGUCGUUCUUGUUUUGCUUGCCAUUUGCAAACCGUGCAUCCGAUUCCGGUGAUCUUUAUAUCGAUUUCGACCGAAAUCAUCUCAUCUUUCCAGUGGCAUACUUGGUUUGCCAAGUUACUGCCAUGUUCAUCAUUUUCCUUCCGGAGCACGCAUAUGCAUCGCAUAUCAUAUCUUGCAUAUCAUACAUGUCUUGUAUCAUGUUGCUUGCGCAUUUCUCGUUGUUGAUUGUGGUUCCGUUUGUUUGUGUUCUUGUCUUGGGUAGAGCCGGGAGACGAGUUCGUGAACGAGGAACCUGUCGAGUACGCUUACGAGGAUCAAGCUUUCGACAACUCUGAGAAUCUUGCAGGCAAGAUGACCACCCCUCGAAAUCACUUCUAUCUUUGCUAUGCUAGUUGUUCGCUCUAUUGCCAUGCUCGCUACCUAUCACUUGCUAUAUCAUGUCUCCUAUUUUUAGCCAUGUCAGCCUCUAACCAUCCUCUCCUAGCAAACCGUUGUGUGGCUAUGUUACCGCGUUUGCUCAGCCCCUCUUAUAGCGUUGCUAGUUGCAGGUGAAGUUGAAGUUUGUUCCAUGUCGGAACAUGGAUAUGUUGGGAUAUCACAAUAUCUCUUAUUUAAUUAAUGCAUCUAUAUAUUUUGGUAAAGGGUGGAAGGCUCGGCCUUAUGCCAGGUGUUUUGUUCCACUCUUGCCGCCCUAGUUACUGUUAUGCCGGGAUUAUGUUCCUUGAGUUUGCGUUCCUUACGCGGUCGGGUGAUUUAUGGGACCCCCUUGACAGUUCGCCUUGAAUAAAACUCCUCCAGCAAGGCCCAACCUUGGUUUUACCAUUUGCUACCUAAACCUUUUCCCCCGGGUUUUCGCGAGCCCGAGGGUCAUCUUAUUUUAACCCCCCCGGGCCAGUGCUCCUUCGAGUGUUGGUCCGAACUGAGCAGACUGCGGGGGCCCCUCCUGGAAACUCGAGGUCUGGUUUUACUCGUAGGAUGUCUCAUCUGGUGUGCCCUGAGAACGAGAUAUGUGCAGCUCCUAUCGGGAUUUGUCGGCACAUUCGGGUGGCUUUGCUGGUCUUGUUUUACCAUUGUCGAGAUGUCUUGUAAACCGGGAUUCCGAGACUGAUCGGGUCUUUCCGGGUGAAGGUUUAUCCUUCGUUGACCGUGAGAGCUUAUGAUGGGCUAAGUUGGGACACCCCUGCAGGGUAUUAUCUUUCGAAAGCCGUGCCCGCGGUUAUGAGGCAGAUGGGAAUUUGUUAAUGUCCGGUUGUAGAUAACUUGUCACUUGACCCAAUUAAAAUACACCAAGUGCGUGUGUAGCCGUGAUGGUCUCUUCUCGGCGGAGUCCGGGAAGUGAACACAGUCUGUGUUAUGGAUGACGUAAGUAGGUGUUCAGGAUCACUUCUUGAUCAUCGCUAGAUGACGUCCGUUCCGUUGCUUCUCUUCUCGCUCUCAUUUGCGCAAGUUAGCCACCAUAUAUGCUUUUGCCGCUGCAGCUCCACCUCUUUGCACCUCCUUGUCCUAUAAGCUUAAAUAGUCUUGAUCUCGCGGGUGUGAGAUUGCUGAGUCCCCGUGACUCACAGAUACUUCCAAAACAGUUGCAGGUGUCGACGAUGCAGUGCAGAUGAUGGCGUCGAUCUCAAGUGGGAGUUCGACGAGGAACAUGGUCGUUAUUAUGUGUCUUUUCCUGAUGAUCAGUAGUGGAGCCCAGUUGGGACGAUCGGGGAUCUAGCAUUUGGGGUUGUCUUAUUUUCAUCUGGAUUUUGACCGUAGUCGGUCUAUAUGAUUGUAUUUUGGAUGAUGUAUUGAAUUAUUUUUAUGUAUUGUGUGAAGUGGCGAUUGUAAGCCAACUCUUUACCCCAUUCUUGUUCAUUACAUGGGAUUGUGUGAAGAUGACCCUUCUUGCGACAAAACCACUAUGCGGUUAUGCCUCUAAGUCGUGCCUCGACACGUGGGAGAUAUAGCCGCAUCGUGGGCGUUACAGAACUGAGGACGUUUCCAAUACCGACAGCAGCUCCGGCUAAAGCAAUUGUAGCAGCUCCGGCACCUAUUGAUUUAGCACCUGCUAACAUCUCGAGUCGAGAAAACACUUUUCUUGUCACGUUUUUCCUUCGUUGUUCUUUCUUGGAUUUCUUGUUGAUGAUUCGAAGUACUUGGGCCUGCACCUCCAUAAUUUUCAAAUAUUGGGUUAUGCGGACCACUAAUUUGAUACAUAUUAUCACAAUUUGCCAGGCUUGUCACAUAUUAAAGAAAAUAAGCUGUGGAUUGAAAAUCAUCAGGGAUAGGUAAUCAUCAGGUAUAGGUAUAGGUAGGGGGUCCGUCAACCCUUGUGGGGCUGGGUGGGGUAUCCUGAACUACUGGAGCAGCUCCCCCUUGUGGCUGGGGUAGACUCUCAGCAGCUUGGUUUAUGCAUGGCACGAAAAUCUAUCUUUAAUAAUUAUGUACAAAAAGUCCAAAACAGCCUAUUGGGGUUCAGUUGGCGAGAAAAGCCUUCUUCCUACAUUUGCGAGUAAGGGGCAACCUUUUUUAUUAAUUCACAGGUAAGGCAAAGUGCUUUCUUUUAAAGAAGCAUCUGGUUCCAUCUUUCUUUCGUUAGUUAAGCCACCUUUUUCUAAGAAGGAUUUUUGUAAUUCAGGAUUAAUAGUACUUAGAAUGGCUUUUUCAUAUUGAGAAAUUCUGUCUAGUGGCAUUCGAUCACAGAAGCCGUUGACAGCAGCAUAAAUCACAACAAUUUGUUUUUCAAUUGGAAGGGGUUCAUAUUGUGGUUGUUUGGGCACUUCUGUAAGCCUUGCACCUCUAUUGAGUAAUGCCUGAGUCGCAGCAUCAAGGUCUGACCCAAAUUGAGCGAAGGCGGCCACUUCACGAUAUUGUGCCAAUUCCAGUUUUGAACUACCGCAGACUUGUUUCAUAGCUUUCAACUGAGCGGCAGACCCGACGUGACUGACGGAUAAGCCAACGUUAAUAGCUUGUCUAAUUCCGUGAUAAAAGAGCACUGUUUCCAAACAGAUUUGUCCAUCUGUAAUGGAGAUCACAUUGGUGGGGAUAUAGGCCGAUACGUCUCCAGCUUGUGUUUCAAUCACGGGUAACGCAGUUGAGCUACCUGCACCUGUCUGGUCCGAUCAUUUAGCGGCUCUUUCUAAGAAACGGGAAUGUAAAUAGAAAACAUCCCCUGGGAAAGCCUCACGGCCUGGUGGUCGGCGUAACAAUAAUGACAUUUAUUGAUAUGCCACCGCCUGUUUACUUAGAUCAUCAUAUAUAAUUAAUGCAUGCAUUCCAUUAUCACGAAAAUAUUCACCCAUGGCACACCCUGAAUAUGGGGCCAGAAAUUGCAGAGGAGCAGGAUCCGAAGCGGUGGCUGCUACAAGAAUGGAAUAUUCCAAAGCAUUCGCUUCUGAAAGAAUUUGAACUAAUUAUGCCACAGUCGAGCGUUUUUGUCCAAUCGCAACAUAGACACAAUACAAUGUCUCACUCUCAUUUGUGCCCCUUGAGUUCAUUUGCUUUUGGUUUAAUAUAGUAUCGAUAGCUAUUGCAGUUUUUCCAGUUUGUCUGUCCCCGAUUAUAAGUUCUCGUUGACCACGGCCUAUAGGAACCAGGCUAUCCACUGCUUUUAAGCCUGUUUGCAUGGGUUCGUGCACAAAUUUACGUUCAAUAAUCCCCAGGGCUUUCACUUCGAGACGUCUUCGUUCGUGAUCGCUUAGAGCCCCUUUUCCAUCAAUAGGUACUCCCAAGGCGUCGACCACACGGCCUAACAUGGCCUUUCCCGCAGGAACAUCCACAAUAGAUCCAGUGCGCUUGACAAGAUCUCCUUUAAUAGCGGUAUCACUACCAAAGACAACAAUACCUACAUUCUCAUUCUCAAGAUUUAAGGCGAUUCCUUUCACACCGCUGGCAAAUUCCACUAUUUCUCCUGCUUGAAUCUCGUUCAAUCCAUAAACACGUGCAAUCCCAUCUCCAACUGAGACCGCUCGACCGAUCUCAUCCACUUGAAAAUUUGUGUAAAAUUUGGUCAUUCUACUUUCUAAUAGAGUCAUGAGUUCCGCAGCUCUGGGUGAGAAUUCCAUACUUUAACAAAUUAGAUGGAUGAUAUUUUGAAGGGAGAAAUCCGCUUUCAAGAAAAAGAUCUUUACUUCACACAAUCUCGAUUUGACUUAUCAUUUGGUGAAUCGGGCAUCUCGGACAAAGACAAUAACAAGAAGAGAUGGGAAGACCCUUCGCGGUCCUGCUCUCUGGUCUCUACCUUGCUUACCGCCCCUCGUAGGGCCCAGCGUACCCAUACCGAAAACGAUUUACUCUUUUUAUGGGUGCUUUCGACUAGGCUCUCGUUAAGGAAUCGGCCCAAACAAGACCGAGAUUCCCGCGAGAAUUGCUACGCUGCCUGCAGUGAAAUUGCAAGAAUCACUUUAUAUGCUAUUUCGAAAUCGAAUGAAUUGAGCAACUGUAUUUCCCUAGGUUUCCAUUGCAAAAGGGGCUUUUUUUUGUAUGCAAGUGAUGAUCGAUCGGCGGAGAAGCCGCUCCCGUGUGGGGUGGCUGUGAGAAUGAUUCCGAGUCUUCCUGACCAGACCCAUGUGGAACUUGUAAAUAAAUGGGUUUGUAAGUGCCUAGCUGAGUAAUAAGAUAAGUACCUUUGCUAAUAAUCCAAAACCUUUCAUCUUCUCUUUCUAGAUAUAGCAGCCUACCCAUAUUGAUAGUGGAAUUAUUUAUCUCCUCUUUCGGAUAGCCCAUUUUGAAUAAGUGUUAUGGGUAAGGGCUUGACCUAGCAGUUGAAUGGAAUCUACAGUUCUUUAUGCUCUCGCUAGCUUUGAACUUGUUUGUACCAGUAAUCAAACCCAGAAUCUCAUUUCCCAUUGCUUUCAUCGCAUAGAGCCAGAUGCCGCAUCCACAAGCCUAUUUAGUAAGCGGGGUGUAUCCUUGGUGACACUUGAGAAAUAAUCCUAUACUUCCAAUAACCCACUACUUCCUCCACGGAUGGUACAUGGCAAGCAUCUGCCGAAACUAGAGGCGAGCACUUUUCAAUCAAUUACGAGAGGCAUUCGCUUCUCUGAUCUUUAAUAAGCGAAGCAACGAGCCUAGUAGGGGAAAUACCUUCCUCAGGAAUGUCAUCAAAGCCAGGUUCUCCAAUCGUAAAAGGGAAUAUUCCAUGGCACAAGGGUUGUUUUUAGGUGCUGUCCUCGGCAGACCACCACAAAAGGUCUGAAUCAGGCGAAACUUCUUUUGGUGCCAGCGAGAAGUAGUAACAAGAACUCCUCCUCUGUUCAAUAUCAGCCUGGUUUAGGUCUAGGUCAUAAUGAAUUUUCUGAUACCUUCCUUCGUCCAUAGAUCAACGUUAUGCUUCUGUCCCGUGAUGAAGAAGGAUAGAAGAAUGGUAAGAUAGGAUCGUAUUAGUGAGCCGUGGGAAAAGAGUUUUUUCGUACCUUGAUUGGACCCACCCAAAAGCAACAGGAAUCCCUUUCUCCUCCUAUAAGGAAAUCUCGUCGUUUCACUCUUCUUCAAGUACCAUCGGAUUAGUCAACUCAAACGCUGAGAGAUUACUAUAGAACCAAGGCGGCUUUGAGGCUGGCUCCACUCUCCAAAUAGAGCAGUUACUUCGUUGACGACAAGAACCCCAUUUCCACUAGCAAAGAGCAAUUCAUUUCUUUGACUCGAUGCCUCCUCAUUUGCUCCCAUUCCCAUAUUAAUAAAAGAAUUAGGGAAAUGCGAGAGAAAAGAAUGCCAAAAGCAUUUAGAGAUUUGACUAGGAUUCGUUCUGGCUCAGAUGGCGAGGGAUUGCUAUAACUAUUUUGAGAAGCAUUAAUGAGAUCUCUUUUUUUCACAAAGUGAUAUGGAAAAUCAUGUGGAAGAACCUAUAUGUAAAAAUAAUUCCAGAUUCCCAUCAUACAUUACCAAACUUCCAAAUAAGAAUAAGCUAAAAAUUGAUAAAUACCUUAAGGAACUGGAAGCAGACCCUGAUUAUAAAGGGCAACCUCCUAAACCAUCAGUAUUCCUUGUAGGUGACAUUGAAACCAUUCCCUUGUUGGAUCGGAACUAUGUUCCCGCGGAGAUAAUAGAAUCCAAAAUCUUCCCCGCCACCACGCUUAUGCAGCCGCCUUUAUGACUGUCAAUUCAGACAAGAAACUAUCAAAGAUUUAUAUUAAUCAUUAUAGUUCCCAUGAAUACAUAAAUAUGCACCCACCAUUUUAUGAUCAAAGUGAUUGUGUACUCCAAGCAUUCAUAAAUGGAAUACUUUCUGUUGUAAGCAAACAAAGAAAGUCACUAAUUAUUUACUUUCAUAACAUGAGUCGAUUCGAUGGUAUUCUGAUGACCCAACAUCUUAGUAAGUAUCACCCCGACUUGAAAGUGGAUACUUAUUUGCGAAAUGGUAUUAUGUAUGAGGUUGCUGUUUCUAGACGUGUUCAGGACGGUAGGAAUAAAUCACGUCUCCUUUUCAAAAUGCGGUGUUCGUUGUUGAUUCUCCCUGAUUCGUUAGCAAACUUAGCUAAACAAUUGUGUUAGGAAUAAGAAAGCGAUGUCGGCAGAAGAAAUAUGAAGAAACCUAUCACACUUUUGUAGUAUAGACGCGGUGCACCUGAUUUUAUAGGCAUCGGAAUGGGUUUAUCUUGGAAGAUCUUGACUUCUCCGUGCCUUCUGCCUCCGACACAUCAUAUCUCCUAUGCCGACCUCGUACUUUUGAUCACUUCUUCCUUACGAAUUGUAUCUAUUACGAAUUGUGUCUAUUUAAGCAUUUUCUCGAUUGAUAUUCAUUUUUUCAUCUAUCUCAUGAAAUUUCCCUUCUAUUAAGCGAUAAAGAGCAAUUGACGAAGUUAGCAGGAAGUCCGUCAGAUGACGGUAUGGAUCAAAGGAAUCCUCCUAUCUUCGACUGAACACCCUUUUACUGGGAUUUCGCAUUCCUAUUUCGAUUGGCAGAAGCCUUUCUUUCUGUUUGUGCUGCCCUAUGGCGAUUUCUUACUCAACGUUUGCACUUUCUUACCAACUCUUUUACAAGUUAGGUUCAGCGUUGUUCUGACGAUUAAGAUUUCUCUGUUUGACGGUUUUUACCUUCAACAACCUUUGUUGCAUCACUUCUUGAUAGCUUUAGUGCUCGGAGAGUAAGCAUACCAUAUUGUUAGCUAGUUAUUUAUUGAUAGCAAACAGCUAGUAGGUCAAGCCGGAGCCUUCACUCACUCAGCUUGGGUCAGCACCGUAUCUCUAAUUGGCGGAGACGAACUCCAAUCCACCCACUUCAUUUGUUUCCCAAGGAGGGUCAUCAGCGAGUCCGCUCUCCCCAAGGUAGUUAAAAGGCGUAGGUACGCAUUCCCCUGCACCAAUGUACCAAAGCACUUUACCUUUAAUCACUAGAUGGGCUCGAGCCAGGGUCCUAUUUUUGUUCUCCAUGACUUCAAAGCUGCUUCUCUUUAUCAAUUCUGGACAGUUCUAUAAACAUUGGUACCAGGGGUUCUAUGACCAAAAAUCUUAUUUUUUUUCUCCUGGCGUUUAUGUAUUUAUUAUCGCUGUCUAAAUGCGAUGACUGUCGUCAGCAAGUAUCCAGUGCCCAUAGUCGAAGAACUCCUGGAUGUAUGGUGCCUCAUGGUUUUCUAAACCUGAUCUCAGAGCUGGUUAUCACCAGAUUCGUAUGGCAGCUGGCGAUGAAUUCAAAACAGCCUUCCAGACUCUGGAAGGGCACUACGAGUACAAGGUCAUGUCCUUCGGCCUUGCAGGAGCACCAGCCACCUUCUUGGGAGCCAUGAACGCCACUCUCAAACAAACCCCUUCUGGGCAAAUGCGCCCUGGUGUUAUUUGACGACAUUUUAGUCUACAUCGCCUCUCUUGAAGAUCACACAAUCCACUUGCAAUCAGUGCUUGAGUUGUUAAGAAGGGAUCAAUGGCAAGUCAAACGCUCAAAGUGCUCUUUCGCUCAACGCCAGUUAUCCUAUUUGGGCCAUACUAUCAGCCAGCAUGGGGUUGCCACUGAAACCCACAAAAUUAAGAACAUUGCCAACUGGUCUUCUCUACAAUCAGUCAAAGAAGUCCGUAGCUUCUUAGGUUUGGCCGGCUAUUACAGGCGCUUCGUUCGCCAUUUCGGCAUCAUUGCAAAGCCACUGACACAUCUCCAGAAGAAACAUGGGGAGAUCCUGAGCUUUGAGGCAACUAAAGAAACAUGAUGCUUUUCAGUUAUAUUUAAGAACAGAAGAGGAAGACAAAGCAACCCUAGGAUUUCUCUGCUCCCAGUGCUUAAUACGAAAAGCUUGACAUAAACCCAAGGACGGGCAACCGCUGCUAAACCAGGAUCUCCAUCUCUUUGAAUAAAAGCCAUCCUUUCCAUUGACCAGCCUACGAGCAUCUUCGGUACUAUAAUGAAGGACGUUGACACUAUCAUAUUCUACGUAGAAGGGGUAAUUCCAGAAACAUCCUAUCUAAAAAUCAUUUAGAGAUAAGUUUCUAUAGAAAGAUAAGCGGGUGUACAAAUGAACUUUCUUAUGAUACUAUGAUACUCAGAUACCACUCAUUGGAUGGGACUGGUGGACCAUUGAUCGAUAAAAAGUAGUAAAUAAGCCCUUUUCUCGCAGGUACGAGAGAUUGCACAACCUUGCCUUGAACGCUUGAAGUUCUAAAUAAAUCUGAAGGGGAAGGCCAAUUGUAUCAUGUCAGCAAUGGUACUCUCCUGGGCUAUAGACUGUCACCUGCUUCAAGGUAUCUUGCUUGUGAAAGCCGAACAAAGAAGAAAAGAACGAAAUGGCGGUUCAUCAGUAGUCAAAGGUGCAGACUUCAUUCUUUGUUUCCUUCAUCCUCUACCAUUACGUUUUGCUUUUUAGGACUACUUAAAGGAAAGGAAUAGAAUGAUCCAUAGUCGUACCUACUUGAGGGCACCGAAUGCAUACAGCUUACGUCAACUUUAUAUAUAUAUAUAUAUAUAUAAUUAUUGAUUCCAUUCACACCCUUUGGGAACAGGAAACGGAGAACUUGUUGCUUUCUUCUGUUUUUGCUGUAGGUGAGGACAACUUAGAUUGAAAUGAUUGACUUGAUCUAGGUACGUGGUCCAAACGGAUAGGUAGAAUUACCCAGAGGGAGCCCUAGUUUCAGCAUAACAGGAAGAAGUCGGGUCCGCGCGGUUCGCCUUUUCGAAUGCAGCAGUGUUUUUGGCUUUGGCAAUACCAGCUAGCUAGCUACUUACUUGUGUGGGAGUCCUAUAAAGAAAAGCCUGAGUUAUAGACUGACUAAAGAAAUCCACCUAAGCUGUAAGUUUUUUUUACAGCUGGCACACCUGCUUGCAAACUAGAAAAUCUGAUUCUAGUAGAAAGUGGACUAAGUCUUAAGAGAGAUAAGCCGGUCUUUAUACACUGGCCCUACUUCGAAUUCAGUCAGUGGCCAGAUGCAUUGUAAGCAAUUCCAGUCCCAGCUGCUGAGGUGGCGUAGUCAGCCCUACCUAAGUAUUGAACAAAACCAGCCAUUUGUAUAAUAUUAUCCUAUCUUGCAUAUUAAUUAAGACCACUUAUUAGAUCAAGGUUGGCAUACAUAGCAUAGGAAGGUGGAGAUCUGAAGUAAUCUAUAUGUCCCUCAGCCAGUCAUCCAUUUCUCUGGAUAUGAAGUUUACAACAUAAAAAAAUGACCCUUUUCAUAAUGAAAUCCAUUACAUGCCAUCCAAAGAACUCUGAUCUGGAUUACCAGCUUUGGGGUGGAAGGACGGAUCGAUCGACCAAGCAACAACGAUCCCUUUACGAUGGUCAAGUGUGAAGGUCCCGAUUUGCCAAUCUGCCAGUGUUGUUUGACUGAUUUUUUUCAUCUCAAAACCAUUAAUGCUGACCUGUCACUGCUCAAGUGAUUUUCCUGCAUGGUUCUAGGAACCAAAAGAAGACUUUGGGUAGGUCAACGAUAGAUUCUAUGUCUAUAAUGGAACAUAGGUUCUUUUUAGGAGGAAAGCUUAGAAGGAUUCUUUUCAGAGCGUAAGACCCAUCGAAGAGCAUGGGAUUGGUAUUGCUGGUAGGGAAUUUAAAGUGAGAGCUUGAUCACUAAACCCCUGCUGCUUUCGAUCAUUCCUGCUAAAGCAGUUGGCAAUGACUCAUUGGAAACAUCUAUUGGAUCUGGGAGAAGAAGAAAUCCAAUCAAUGGGUAGGUAGUCAAUUUCUGGCGAAAGCACAAACCUUUUCUCUUACUUAAGGCGAUAAAAUCCAUUCAUUUCAAUAAUAAUCUGUUUGAGAUGUGUUUUACCGAGAAGGUAUAUGGUUUACGGUUCUAAGCCGUUGAGUUCGUGUUUUGGUAGUUGUUGUUUUGAAGGAUGGCGGAUCUAGAGUUGAAGGAUAGUGAGGCAUACCAACGCCAUGCCAACAAGAGGAACCAUCCGGACGUAAAACAGCCGACCUACCCCCUGCCACUUCUUCCUCUAAGUCAAGUUGAUAGAUUUCUGUACGAGUUUUCAAGUGCCAUCUCCAGUCUAAGCGGUUGAGUUCAGUGAUUGUAUCGAACAAAAGCCCCCUCCCGGGGCAGGUACGCGACUGUCUCUCUUCCAAAGUGUGAUCAUCUUCUCCAGUCUCCCGUUUCCACCUAUUUUAAAUGGUCAGCCUGUGCGGCAUCAAUUGAAUUUGAAUUCUAAAAUAAAGUAGACUUUGGUGAAGGAACCUAUUCUCUGGUAUCUUCUUCGGCCAUCUCAUCUGGUUUCGGCCUUCUUUGUGAGCAGCUCCUAACUCGCUCGACGGGGUAUGAUCGCUACUGUUGAUAGGUCAAUCGAAAAAGAAUAAGUUCAAGGACUGAACAGAAAGAAAGUACUCUAACACUUUCUUCGCCAUUCUUUUCUAUGAGGAGCUCUAUUUUGCUAAUAAAAAUGUAAUGCUACCUCCCUGCAGCGAUUCAUAACUAGAAGAACUCGUUGGCACAACCGGACCUUAUUAAAGGCCUCGGCCGUCUAAUCGACUGAAAGAUCUUAUCUUGGAGUUCUAGUAUGGGUCGUCGGCCCUUUCUCCUCCUCAGUAGGUGCAAACCCUGGUUCUGUAAAUGAUUAUAACUGCCUUGGAGCUAGAUAAGCAAACCUUCUUCUGUUUGAGUACGAUGGAUGUUACACCCACUGGCAGAUACAAGCAAAAGCUUUCCAGCUAAGCUAGGAGUCAGAACGAACUCAUGAAGCUAUCCUUCUUCUUGGAUCUCAAGAUUCAAAUGGAAUUUUAUCACCCCGGAUUUUGGCUUUAAUUUCCACUUUAUACUUGAGUUAAGCAAGGCACCAGCAUGGGAGAGAAGAUAGCCCCUCGGGAUCGCUUACUAGCCGGCCUGCUUGAUUUAUUUAUGAGGUAUCCAGAUGGCACUGCACCGGCGAGGGAAAGGGAAGCUGAUGAGAGGUAAGGGAAAAGUCCAUUUAAUGAAUAGGUUCACUACAGUCUAUACUAUCUCUAGACCCCCUCUCUAUACUCCCUCAUAAUAUAUGGAUCCCCCGGAUAAUAUUGAUCCUCCAACAGCUGACAUAUCUUAUCUAAACUCCCGGAAACCUGGGCAUGGCUUUUUCGAACUUAGUUGAUUUCGCAAGAAGCAACUUGAAAAGCACAAAGACUACAUCCAAACAAACCUUACGUCUUCGUUCGGCUCAUUCUUGCUUAUCUCACCCUAUUUCCUUACUUUAGCUUAGAAGUAGGCAUAUGGGAAGUUACACAAAGAUGACUUAUCGGUUGGCCUAAGCUUACUCGAUUCCAUUCUUUCCAAUAUCAUAUACGCCUAGUGAAAUGCAUCUAUCUCCUCUCCUCCCCUUCUUUCUUUUUAUCCAUUUUAUAUACCUAGUCGAAGACUACUUAGAUUAUAGGGCGGGCUUUUCUACCCAUUGACCGGGACCGAUCACUGUGUUUGACCGCUCUUGGUAUUCAGACCUUGGACUUUUUCGCUAGGAGCUAAUCCAUGCUUUAAGAGCUCUAUACAUAAAGAGAAGGUGUAUUCACUUAAAGGACUGUGAAAUCUACCCUAUGCCCCGAAAAGUCUAGGCACCUAAAUAAAGUAAAGAUGGGAUCCCUGACCAAUAGAUUAAGCUAUCCAAUGAGUUAGGAACCUUUUUUAUUCCCCCUUGUCUUCUCCGCUUUGCUCUGUUACUCCUUUUGCAGAUGGUUGGUCACCACUCUUAGGCUUUUUGUUCUCUGCUUGUGGUGGGUCUCCAAUCUUGAUCCGGUGCUGACUUAAUAGGGAAACCUACCCAGAAAAUGCCCCCUUUUCCGGUCCGGUUAACAAAGCCUGUAAACCAAGAGCGGAACGAAGAGCUAAAACGUCACCUUUACCCUUAUCCUAUUUCUUUCUUACUUGUAAACCAGACCGCGUCAUUCCUUUUUUCUUUCUUUGGUAAGGAAGGGACGGCUAUUCCCACAGGUUGAUCUUGAUAAAAUGUGCAGCGGUAAGCAACUAAUAAUCUCGAUGCAGGACUGCCGUUCCCAUAGGUUCCUCCUCCAAAACCUUCUUAGGCGAAAAAGACUGGAAGGGCUUAUUCCCACUGCUGAUUACUGAGAACCUUCUACCGGGAAAGAUUUCCUUCUAUGCCUAGUGGUUUUUGAAUUGGAAAUGGGAAAGGCAGAGAAAAUUUACUCAAAUUCCACUAUGUUAUGUAUACAAUAAUCGGGUUGCGUCUGUAUGAUCGGGGUGCUUUAUCUAAACUAGGCAGGAUAACUUGGCUAACUUUCCUACUCUUAUAGCAUCUCUGAACGGCAGGUUCCCUCAACCACCGUAACGAAGGAAUGAAUCUAUUAAGUGGGAAAGAGCCCUCGUGGCAGCUAUAUCCGCGAGGAUUCCAAGUGUUCUAAUUCAUCUCGUUACAGACCCACAUCAAACAUGCAACUGCUUGUCGCAUACUCCUGCUACUCCGACCUACGCUUCUCACAUCGCAUCCUUGGUCCUUAAAUGACGGUAUAUUCUUUUUCUGGGGUUCUAUCAGCAUAAAUGGAGACACUUCCCCCUUCUUCGACAUAUGAAUAUGCCUCGCCCCGAAGAUAAAGAAAUCCUGAGUAAGGAGAGAGAUUCUCCACAAGAACGAACGACCCAUCAGGUUCGAACUGACUUAGGUUGGACCAGGACCCACCUAUCUCCACCAAGAAGGAAUCGCUUUGGUUACGCAGUUCAGUUGGCGAUAAAAGCCAACCUAAUCUGCGGGCCGGUAGGCCAGCCAACUAACUCUUCAAAUGAAGAACUUAUUUCCCCACACCUAUCUCUAUGAAACUUCCUUCAUAGUUAGGAGAGGUUUUUUUUAGCUUUUUGUCUCUUUUACCGCAGGAAGUUCUCCAAAAGUAUGAAAGGCCAGAGGGCUUUGUACCAACCAUUCUAGUGUGGUUGGAUUCUGUUCAACAGCCCAAGGACUUUCCGCACAUUUUUGGUUCUUUCCACUGCUUGAAGUGAUUGCGACAACUACGAAGAAACGACGAAUCCCAACUACGGAUAUAUAAGAACCGAAACUGCUCAGAGCAUUCCAUCCGGCGUAAGCAUCUGGAUAAUCUGGAAUGCGACGUGGCAUACCCGAAAGCCCUAAGAAAUGCAUGGGAAAGAAGGUCAAAUUAACCCCGAAAAAAGUGAUCCAAAAAUGGAUUUGGCCUAAAGUUUCAGGAUAUGUCCGACCAAAGAUUUUACCCACCCAAUAGUAAAAUCCAGCAAAUAAAGCAAAAACGGCUCCCAUAGAAAGUACAUAAUGGAAAUGUGCAACCACAUAAUAAGUAUCAUGUAGAGCAAUGUCUGGCCCAGAGUUUGCUAGAACUAUUCCAGUGAGCCCUCCUAUGGUGAACAAAAAGAUGAACCCUAUAGCAAAUAACAUGGGUGUUUUGUAUUGUAUCGAACCUCCCCACAUGGUAGCGAUCCAACUAAAGAUUUUGAUUCCUGUGGGCACAGCUAUGAUCAUGGUAGCUGCGGUGAAGUAGGCAUGCAUAUCAACGUCUAAGCCCACAGUAAACAUAUGAUAAGCCCAAACUAGAAAUCCAAGAACACCUAUACUUAUCAUGGCAUAAACCAUGCCUAGAUACCCGAAGACCGGUUUUCUUGAAAGGUCGAUACGAUAUGACUAAUAAUACCAAAUCCAGGCAGAAUGAGAAUAUACACCUCUGGAUGACCGAAGAACCAAAAGAGAUGCUGGUAUAAUAUUGGGUCUCCCCCUCCUGCAGGAUCAAAAAAGGUUGUAUUAAAGUUUCGAUCGGUUAAUAACAUUGUAAUUGCCCCCGCCAGUACCGGAAGUGAUAAUAAAAGUAGGAAUGCUGUCACUAGAAUGGACCACACAAAAAGUGGUAUUCUAUGCAUAGUCAUUCUAGGUCCACGCAUGUUGAAGAUAGUUGUUAUAAAAUUGAUAGAACCUAAAAUUGAUGAAAUACCUGAUAGAUGAAGACUAAAAAUUGCUAAAUCAACUGCUCCUCCAGAAUGGCUGGUAAUACCACUUAAGGGCGGAUAGACUGUCCACCCAGUGCCGCUGCCCACUUCAGCCUAUAUUUCGCCUUAUGUCGUGUAUCCUUGAUUGAUGCAGCCUCAGAUGCUUCAAUUGUAGAUUUGAGUAUUGAGCGAAAGGUUACACCACCUAUAGGUUCUGUAUUACAGGCCAAUCCUACUCCACUAGUGCCAAUAGGCAGCAUAGGGGAAAAAGCACAACACCUAGGAAUAGGAAUCAACAACACAAAAACUUUCUGAGAAAUUACCCAGCAAGAAAACGUAUGCGCGUGGGCGCAACGGAUUUCGCUCCCGUGCACUCAUCCCUUGCUUGUUCUUUCGGACUAGCACUCUUUCCCUCUCUUGGAAGUAGAUUUCUCAGCUCCAUGAGUCAAACGAAAUAAGGCGAAAGGCCCACUACUUCUUCAUUCAUGGCUUAUUGAUUUGAUUGAUCCCCCUUUCGUAUUCAUUCGACCUGAGGUGAGGUUGGAACAAGAGUUUUCAUAAAAAGAAUGGUUCUUUUAUGCAAUUAUGAACGGGCAGGCCUCUUGUGGAUUCCUCCAACUCUAUGAAUGAAGGGGGGAGUAUGAGGAAGGCCGAUUUUCUUUCUAUAUGAAGAUGAAAAAAGGAUCCGGGUCAAACAUUUCUUACUUUUGUUGAGUAUGACUGAAUGAGGAAGAGCUCCUUAUGUGGUAUCACUUUACCACCAUCUGAAAUGCGCGAAACUCCGAUUGGUGGAAGCCAAUCCAUGAAGAUUCUCCCUUCUCUUACGUGAAAUUCCCCUCUUUCGGUAAGCAUCCAGUAUCUCAGCAAAUGAACAUUUCUCUAAGCUUAUCCUGUAGCUUAUACGUCGUUUGAAAGCUGCUCCAAGGAUCCAACGAAUAGCUAAGGUUUGUUGACGAUCCCUGGCUACAAUCCCAGGAACAUCCUAAAUAGUACCUGCGACUCCUACUUUGACCACUUUGCAUAUUGGCUUUAUAUUAUCUACGGCGUCAACCAUAAGUUUUAUUACAUCGUGUUCAGUUCGAGCUAGGCGGUGAAAAGUUUUAUAAACAAUAGCACGAACUCUCGUUCUUUUACCAUCGAUCAUGCGAAAGUUUACCAAUUUCUUGAUCAAUUCUUUUUGCUCACCAUCAAAGUCCCCCAUAUAGCUGAGAAUUUCUGAGCAAUUGGAAGCCGCUUUCGAUGACGAGGCCGAUAAAUUGAUAUUACGCGAUCGUUACUGUCCAUUUUUUUAGCUCUGCUCCCGAAAAGAGAAAGGAAAGGAGACUGAUCUUGACGUCGGCGUUGGUUUUUCCAACGAAAAACAACAUUCUUUCACGAACUUCCAUGACACAAUGCUAGUUGCCUUGUAAUGCAUACACUGGAGCGUUUGUCCCAUCGACGAAGGCCACUAUACGCAUUUUCUGAAGAGCAACAUUCUCUUAUAACCAAACAUCGCAAAGACAGAAAGGAGUAUCCUGAACGUAAGGCCAAUGGCUAGCAUACUUCGCUAAACACUCACGAUAUUCAGCUAAAGCUGGAUGCAUAUUAUAUUAUAUUAUAUUAUAUUAUAUCUUGCCUUGGUAGAGCGAAACUUUGAACCCAACACAAGUAACUCUCCCGGUUUAGCGAUAUUGAUGGGUUUCAGCCUCAUUCCACUAGCCCUAAAAGCAUUCUAAAUAUAUAAAAGAGGGGGAAUGGAUUCUACAAGAAAGGGCGGGCAAAGGUAGUUCAGGGGUCAAUUCUUGGAGCAUAGCUCAUUUCUAAGUCCCCAACCCAUCUCGUGCUCGUGCUGUACGCGAUCGAAUCUUGCGGCCGGAUAGAGCAAUGGAAUCACCGAGUCGUAUGAAAAGAGGGAUCUUCUUUUUAAUCUUAACACAAAGGCUAGCUCCCCUGGGGGUUGUCAUAUUACAAUCAUUUGUAUUACUUUCCUACCAAUCCUGAACUAGCUAUGACCCUUAUAGCGAGCCUCGCUUUACCGUUUCAGAUAGAAACAUAUGGCGCUCCUAAAGUCGAUUGGAUACUGUCGGGGAUAUAUCCCGCGGUAUGACCCGGCUGGAAUUGGCGACUCACUGGUGACCCGCCCGGAGCUUGGCGAUUCACAGAUAACCUGCCCGAUCUUGGCGACUCAUUAGUAACCCGGUGGGCGGGUCAGAUAGAAGACUAGGCCCAAGGCCCAGAAGGCCGGCUCAUGUUAUGGUGGGCCGGCUUAAGAAGGAAGGGAUGACGAAUAUUUCCUUUACGAGGAAGCAAGACCCGGACUUGUAAUUAACUUGUAAGAGAAGAUAGACUAGUCCUAGUCCUACUAGGACUCCACAUGUAACCCGCCCCUCUAACUUAUAUAAGGAGGGGCAGGGCACCCCAAAGAGGGACAGGCAACAAGAAACAAUAUCUAGGGCUAGACACAAAGAGCCGGCUUACCGGCGACUCUCUCAUGAGCAUAAUGAGACCUAGCCUCAAACAGCACGUAGGGUUAUUACCGGAUGAUGUUUUCCGGGGCCCGAAGCUGUCUAAACCCUUGUCUUGUGCGUUGAUCCGCCCUGCGUCUCUUAUCCCAAUCAACCCCUCUCAAGCUACUACAUAGAUGCGCUGGCCUCACGACUAAGUCCUUACACCUAGGACAUCUGACGUGUCAAUUCCACGACAGUUGGCGCCCACCGUGGGGCUCGCACACGGUGGUGUUGAGUUCUUGGAGGGCGCACUCUCAAGGAUCGAGAAACUCACGAUUGGCCGGUUGAAGAAGAGCCAGCACGAGACAAUCACACAAGAUUUUCUUUGGAUCUGGGAGUACAGGAUUUGAGUUGAAAAAAAUAGGGUUGCAUGGUGCGCGCCGCUGUGACCGGAUGAUCUGUCAAGACCGGAUUGAUUUUUCGCCGAAACUAUGCGUGGGGCAGAUCGCGUCCAGGGCGGCUGACAUGAGUAAUGGAGAUUAGCAUGGAACGACCGCGUGACCCGCCGUACGACCGUGGACAGAGCCGGCAAAUUUAUCGCUGGGAGGUCAGGAUUAUGGUUAAAGAUUUUUGGAACUGGCAGAUAUGAGAUUCGUGGAGAUUUUAGGGUUUGCAUGCGGCGCCUCACGCAUUGCAGGGCGACCCGUUGAAUUCGAGCAAAGAUCGUUUUUUCAGCUGCAGAUGAGACCGGACAGGAAUCUGAUUCGACGUCACCAAUACAUGUAUGGAUCCGAGUCAGAUUGCUGCUCCUCUUCACGUCUACAUCAGUACGGAGCAAGGCUGGUAAUGAUGGUUUAAACCGGCUGCAGAAAUCCAAGGAGUGAAGAAACAAUCAUUGCAUGGUGGGGCUCCUGAGGUUUGAUGGAAAACUGCUCUCGUUUGGGGAUCAGGAAAUAUUAUUAUAGUACUACUCUGCUGCUAGUUCAAGUGCAAAGCGAUCAAGCAAAAGAAAAAAAAGAUAUAUGUCCACGCGUACAUGUGUGGAUUUCUAUUAAGAUAUUUUGUGUGAAGAAAAUUGGAGUUUCUUAGAUGAAUUUUUUUUUAUCCGAGUUGCCGAGGUCAACAAGAAGUCUGCAGCCGGCCGGGUUGAUGAUUAUUGUCUAUGGUUCUGUCAAAAUUGCCGCUAAAGUCAUAGUAUGUUUGAGGGAGAACAGUACGCUCAGAAAUUCUUUAAAUACCGUCAUGCAACAGCACGAGUGCAUGGUCGCCUUUUCCGUCGAGCCGCUGCUCCUCCGUGACUGAUUACUACUGCCACCCGGUCGUCUUCACUCGCCGGCGUCGUUAAACAGCCAGCACUGGGCCUCAACUCCAAGUUGCUAAGCCGCCCCUACGUAAAAUCGCCUUUGCUGCUGUUACCGCUUCCGAUGAGUACCGACGAGCAUCUCCCGCCGUUCCCUUUGCUGGUGUUGCUACUGCCUUGGGCGUCGCUGGCUCUGUGCCGCGCCGAGCUAUUGACUGUUUGUAUGGCGUGGCGAGUUGCUAAGGAUCAGUUACGAAGUAGCACUCGUUGAAGUGUUGUCUACAUAAAAGACAAGUUGACAGGGACACCCAAGUUCAAUGCAUUGAGGAGCGUGGCUUACUUAAAAACCGGAUGGAUGCAUGGUUAUUUAUUCGGAUGUGAAGGCCAUCAUUUGGUCGGAUUGCUAUGCAGUCACUUUAUCCAAAAGGCACAUCAGGUGAUAUCCAUUCAGUUUACUUUUUAUCAGUACUUGUUUAUUUUUUGUAAAAACAACCACUCUGCCCAAUAGUAUUCUUAUACGCAGGUAAAUUAUUCAUUACAAAAGUAUUGAUAUACCGCGGAUAUGGAGCAUGUGCCAGCAUCAUUUUUACUGGCGUUCGUCUGUGUCACGCGACUUCACGGACACGCGUGAAAGCCGCCACCCCUGCGGUCUGGUCUACAUCAACACGCCAGCCGACCCUCCCGUCCACGCGGCUUACCGCGCUAGUGAUUAACUCACCCGACUGCGCCGGCUUACAACGACGCUGCCGACUCUCCCUGUCUGUGCCGGCUUACAACGCCGUGGGCGGCUCAUCUGUCUGCUCCCGCGGCCGGUUCACCCGUGAAGGAUUCCAGUUUCACCUAGUGGUCAUCAACUUCAUGGCGGGUUAUUUUCGGCCUAAACACAUCAGUGAUAUUAUACUACGGAGAUGGAGGCACGCCAACAUCUUUUGGCACAGGUGGUCUUCGUUAUUCAACGGACCCUCGCACCGGCUUACCACGCCGUGGCCGUCUCUCGCGACCACGCCGGCUUACAACAAGGAGGACAACUCACCCAUCCGCACCGGUUUACAAUGCCACGACCGACUCAUCUGUCUGUGCCGCCUCUGAUGUUACGGUCGUCCUUACCGUCCGUCUCUCGCGGCCUGAUCUACAUCAACACACCAGGCCGCACUUGUCUAGAUGAGUUGUUUAUUGAUUAUGAGCAAGUCACUACUUGGGAAGCCCGGUUUUCUUCCAACAAACUGGAGGCAAAUUAUCAUAUAUUAUCAGCCGUCGUCUGCACUGGAUGGUUCAAUGAGCAGGCGCACGAGUCGCGCAACUACAAUUUGGUUAACUUCGAACAACUAGUUGGAAGGAGCCAUUGGCCGAGUUGUUGACACGACUCAUAUGGGAUCAUUUAUAACCCGCCGCAGUCGCUUCAACCUUCUGUGGGUUCACAUCGUGUUAUCAACACCAAUGAUAUACAAGUUAUGCCGGUUUAUAUCACGGUUAAAUAUGGAGAAUCUCAAGCCGACUCCUCGAGUCAUCUUGAGACUCGGGGGCUACAGUGACAUGACUCGGGAACCCCGGGUCGUUGGAGGGAAUGAUAACCCGGUUCUGGAGGCUACUACCAUAUUGAUGAAAAUUUAAAGGCCAUCAGAAAAUUGCCGGUUCAAAAUAAAUAUUCCGGUUUAAAAUCCGGUUCAAGAGAUAUCUCUCUCCCGCAAAGUUUUGAAGCUCUCAAAUCCGGUUCAAACAUCCGGCUCAAGGUAAAUUUAUAUCUUACAAAGCUUUGGAGCCCUCAAUAUCCGGUUUACAAAUUUCCAGUUCAAAAAGAAGUUAUCUCUCGCAAAGCUUGAGUUCUCAGGAAAAAUUAAAGGGACCAAAGAGAGUCUGUUACAAAGCACAACUCAAAUAUGGGUACCCUGCUUUAAUGGCCAUUGGGAGCUAAUCGUAUUCGAAUUUAGUUUAACCCUUUUGGUGUGUGACCCUGAUCGUAUUCGAAUCAGAGUCGUUAAAUAUUCUCAUGAUCACUAGGCGGCUUCCUGUUCAAACAUAGGUCGUAUUCGAACCAAAGAGAACAUAGCUGUCAAUACCCUUUUGAUUGGCACACUGCCGAGCUCACUAGGGUGUUUCUUGAUCGUAUUCGAAUCAUAGCUCAACCCCUUUUGAGAACCGACGUGGAUCAUAUUCGAAUCAGCGUCGUUAAACAACUCUCAAGGUCAUUUGGGGGCUUCCUGUUCAAACAUAGGUCGUAUUCGAACCAAAGAGAACAUAGCUGUCGGUACCCUCUUGAUCGGCAACGCCAAAGCCACUGGAGGUUAUAUGAUCGUAUUCGAAUCUUAGCUUAACCCCUUUGGGACGGUUUUCUGAUCGUAUUCGAAUCAGAAGCCUCAAAAUUGUUGAAGUCUCUUUUUGCAAACAAUUUUUGGAUUUUAUUUGAAGCUCUUUUUCAUAUGUAAAGUGUAUAUGAGUGGUUUCUAUUUAAACCUGGCUUGAUUUUCGAUGAUAAGUCGCCGGCUUAUGACAAUCAUCAUAUAUUUGGAAGUAUUGGCUUCUAAGGAUUGGGUUAUCACCCUUACUGCACAGGUCAUGUAAACCAGCAGUACAAAUUCAAUAUCACAGUGGUUACAUGUGAGAUAUUAUGACCCGCCCUGCGGUAAACCGCCAAGGGUUCUUGUGAUCUACUUGCGUGCAGGAUAAGACUACAUUUGGGUGGUUACCCGCCAUGGUUUUUGACGUUAAGUCGCCAGGGCAUAUGUUGUUUAAACUUUGCAGGAUUUACAGAGCUAUGACUUACAUAAAUGAUUAAAUUCAAGCCCAUCAUAGAUGGAAAUUGGUGUCUCAAAAGGGUUAUCAAUUCUUGAUUUUCUCAAAGGCUAUAAGCCGCCGGGUUGUACAAAUUCCGGCUUACAAUGGAGGCGUAUUAAAUCGGCAUCGGCCAAGAGCCGCCGGGUAUUUAAACUCCGGAUUGGCCUAUCAGCAGAUGAGGUAUUCAAAGUCACUUUGGCGCAAUGGCUAUUAGUUUAUCAAUUGAUAUGAUUUAUUCUACAAUGGAAAGAAUAGUCCCGAGUCGCUACAGGCUUACGACCCGGCACUUGGGGACUACAUUAUUCAAAUUGAGAUUACAUCAAAUGUGCAAGUCCCAUGUCACUGCCAGCAUGCACCAUGGCACUUUGGGGCUAAUGCAAGAUUACUUUUUAUUGGCCUUGUUGAAGACCCGACUCAUCAUAUUAUGAUAAACCGGCCCUUGGGGGCUACCAAUUGCUCCUGUCAACAAUUCAAGGUACAUAAGUCUUAAUCCAUUAUAUUGAAGGAUCCACUGUUUAGUUGGUAAAGCACAAAGCUCUUAACCUUGUGGACGUGGGUUCAAGCCCCAUGGUGAGGGUUACAUCAUAUGAUUAUUUUCAAUGAAAAGUCCCAGCUCAGUAUUAUCUUACUAAGCCGGCCCUUGGGGGCUACACAUUGCUGUUCAAAUUUACAUGAUCAUAUUUAUAAAGUCCCUGCUCAUUAUUGCAUAAUGACCCGGCCCUUGGGGGCUACACUAGUUGAAGUUUUUGAGAAUCAGGCAAUUACAAGUCCCAGGUUGCUGCAAGCAUGACAACCCGGCACUUGGGGGCUACAUAAUAUGGAAUAUUCAGUUUGUACUAGUGAUUGGGAUGAACAACAUGGAUUUCUUCAAAGUGGCAGUAUUCAUAUUGAAGCAAGUCUUAAGCCAUCGCUUUGUUCUGCUCAAGACUUGGGGGCUACAGGUAUUAUAUUAUUAUCAAAGAAAUAUCUUCAAUUUCUCUGUUUUGAGCAAAACUAGAUUGAUCCGGUGUCACCAAUCAUUAUGACCCUAUGUCUGUAAACCGGCAUCAUUAACAAUCAUAAACCGGCGUCGGCGACAAUUAUGACUUGGCAUCAUCUAUUUAUAACCCAGCAAUUUUGGUACUCAUAAACCGGCAAGUUUUAUAUCUUUAAGCCGGAUGAAUAUAAGUUGAAUAUUUGAAGACCAAUAUUUUUGUCAAGUCAGAGCAUUGAAAGCCGAUUCAAGUGGAUUGUUUCUUACAAUAUUUCUCUACAAGAGACCAAUGCCAGCAAAUUGACUCUGAAGCUGGCCUAUUGACCCGGAGUUCUCAAAAGAAGUAUCUGGAUUUUUUGCAUUCACAAAGUUUGAACAUAUCUAUUAAAGGAGAUUUUCUAUGAAUUCAUGGGCAUGUAUCAAGAAAGAAAUGACAAGGAUUUAAAGAUGAUCAGGUGCCGGCUUACAAAAUUUAACCCGGAGCACAACCUAUCAAGUUUGUUCUUGUGUUUAUUUUACAGGAUCAGUUUAACAUGGAUAAAUCCAAAUUAAACUGGGGGCUAAUGUCGGGGAUAUAUCCCGCGGUAUGACCCGGCUGGAAUUGGCGACUCACUGGUGACCCGCCCGGAGCUUGGCGAUUCACAGAUAACCUGCCCGAUCUUGGCGACUCAUUAGUAACCCGGCGGGCAGGUCAGAUAGAAGACUAGGCCCAAGGCCCAGAAGGCCGGCUCAUGUUAUGGUGGGCCGGCUUAAGAAGGAAGGGAUGACGAAUAUUUCCUUUACGAGGAAGCAAGACCCGGACUUGUAAUUAACUUGUAAGAGAAGAUAGACUAGUCCUAGUCCUACUAGGACUCCACAUGUAACCCGCCCCUCUAACUUAUAUAAGGAGGGGCAGGGCACCCCAAAGAGGGACAGGCAACAAGAAACAAUAUCUAGGGCUAGACACAAAGAGCCGGCUUACCGGCGACUCUCUCAUGAGCAUAAUGAGACCUAGCCUCAAACAGCACGUAGGGUUAUUACCGGAUGAUGUUUUCCGGGGCCCGAAGCUGUCUAAACCCUUGUCUUGUGCGUUGAUCCGCCCUGCGUCUCUUAUCCCAAUCAACCCCUCUCAAGAUACUACAUAGAUGCGCUGGCCUCACGACUAAGUCCUUACACCUAGGACAUCUGACGUGUCAAUUCCAUGAUAGAUACUUUCUUUUUUAUUGAAUUAAUCUAAGCCGUGGACUUUCCCACGUGAAGAACUCCUUCUUAUGAGCUCAUGGACUUGAUCAAUGCUAGUUCAAGUUCACGUCAUAUUAGGAAAUUAGUUCAUUAAUUCGUUUAUUUGCCAACGAAGAAGCCUUGCGCUACUCGGAAAGUACUGACUAGAGGGGGGCGUGUGGAUCCACAGUCCUAGCCAUUCUCACAACGGGAUAAUAAAGCGAACAAAGACCAUGAGAAGAGAUUACAACAUCUAGAACGAAGCCUGUCAAGCCAACCUUCCCUCACUGCGAAAAUGCAACAUCCGGCGUACUCAUUGGCUUUGACCUCAGAUUCAUUACUUGCUAGAGAAGUAUUUUACAUAACUGUCAUAGUUCCAAUGCGAUAAUCUUGUUAAUCAGCAAAGUAGCUAGCCUAAAUAAGGAGUUUACAAUCGCUUGACUAUAAAGUAAAGAGCGGCUAAUGGGAGAUUGCUUGAGUAGGCUCAGUAAGGGAUUACCCGCGGGCAGGUUGAAAGAGCUUUCAUUAAUAGUAUGAACUGGUGGAUCAGCAAGAUAGCUAGAGCUCCUUAAAGGAAAGCAAAAUUCAAUUCUACAUUAUAUCAAACUAUAAAGCAAAGAUGAGGAAGCUGCGCCUUUACUCGCUCGAAUUAGAGGAAAAAGGGGAUAUGCAGCAGUAACAGCUUUUCUUUCAAUAGUAAGCAGGAAAUGCGAAUAAGAGAAGGGUAGAAGAAGCGAUCCGCGCAUUUCCUUAUUACACAAUGGAUUUGACUCGUUAGAGAAAUCAUUUCUUAGGUAUGCUACAUUCUUUGAAGAAAGAGUAGGUUCUACUAUUUAAGACUUAGAGGAAGUGAUUUUCGGGAACUAGCAGACCAAGCCAAUCAACAAGGAAAGCCUGUCAAGCAAGGAAGCCACCAAGCAAACCUUUAAUAAGCAUCUCUAGCGCAGUCACUUCUCUAUCGAAAGAAAAACCUGCAGUCAAAACUAGUCACAUUAGUGAAACAAGUGAUUCGCUGACAUUCAAUUCAAAUAGAAAGAGUUGUCACAGCUGCGACAAGUUGCUCUAAGAGGAAGGAGUUGGCUUACUUUCAAUUCCUAAUACAGCAAGAGCGGAUUUUUUUCAUGUAGCAUUUCUACCCCUAUAGGAUUUCCCAUCUUAACCGAGAAUGGGUGCAGCCCACCCCAUCUAAAGUAGCCUGAAAUUCGUUCCUCUACAAUCCGGAGCAGUCCGAACAUGUACCGCGAUCUGGACGGACAAAGAAUGCCGUACACUUGAGUGACCCCCUUUUCUGUGACCACCACCAAAUUCAAAAGAAGAGGUGAGAUCACCCUAAAAAAAUCAUUUGUAGCUCUUAAAAUAUGGGCCAACCUCUCCAUUAAUAUUGAUACUCACUGCACCUCCUUCUACCACUUGUUUAAUCCAACCUCUCCACUUCUCACUAAAGAAAACCCUUUUUAAGCAAAACCUCAUGUAGAAAAUCCCAAUUCACCCUGUCAUAUGCUUUUUCAAAGUCUAGCUUUAGUAUGACCCCCUCUUGUUUAGUCCUCCUAAGCUCAUGAAACACCUCAUGGAUAGUGACCACCCCAUCUAAAAUAUUUCCGUUUUUCAUAAAUGUCGUCUGACUCUUACUCACCACCUUAUCUGCAACUCUCUCAAGCCUAUUUGUCAGUACUUUAGUCACAAUUUUCUAACAAACAUAAUAUAAACAUAUUUGCCGAUAUUGCUUGAUAGUUACAGCAUCUUUCGUUUUAGGAAUCAGAGUAACCACCCCAUAAUUAAGUCUUCUAAGUUGCAACUCCUCAGCAUGCAGGCUAUCAAGCAUUCUUUUGACCAUCUCUUUAACCAUCUCCCAAAAAUGUUUCUAAAAGAUUACUGGUAAGCCAUCUGGGCCCGGAGCUGUAUUGGUUUUCAUCUCUUUAACUACUAACUCUAUUUCCUCCAUAGUGAAAGGCUUAGUCAACUCUUCAUUGUCUAGUUCUGAUAGCAUGUGCUCUGUUGACCAAGGGGCUUCCACCAAGAGAGAUGUCCCCCCUGUCCUCUGAACCAAAUAGUCUCUUAUAGUAACUAGAAAUGUGUUUUUGCAACUCUUUCUCAUCUUGUAUAACAUUUCCUUCAUGUUCCAAAGAAGCAAUAUUACAUUUUAUGUGUCUUCCAUUGGAAGCACUAUGCAAGAAUGAAGUAUUUGCAUCUCCCUCAAGUAACCACUGACAAACUGACUGACAAUGUGGACUGCGUGAGCAAUGUCAGGCCGGGUCACAGUGAGGUACACAAGGCUGCCUACAAGAUGACGAUAGCGAGUGGUAUCCCUCAAGAGGAGUACCAUCACUAGGGCGCAAUUGGAGAUGGAGCUCCAUGGGUGUAGCGGCAGUGUGUGUAUCAGUAAGACCUGAGCAUGAGAUCAAAUCCUGAGUAUAGUGAUGCUGAGACAGAUAGUAACCAUCAUUAGUUUGAUCAACCUCAAUUCCCAGAAAAUAACUGAGAGAAAAUCAAUCUGGCAUCUUGAAUUGCUCACUCAACUUUUUCUUCCCAAAAGCAAUGUACUUCUGAUCAUCUCCAGUGAUCAACAUAUCAUCAACAUAGAGAAGAAGCAAGGUACGACCGCGGUCAGAUGUAUGAGUGAAAAGUGCAGGGUCAUGCUCACUAGAAGAGAAACCAGCAGCUUGAACCACAGAGCUGAACCGCUCAAGUCAAGCACGAGGUGGUUGCUUUUUUCCCAUAGAGGGCCUUUCGAAGGCGACAAACAUGACCAUCAGGAACAUCAAUACCCAGAGGUGGCUGCAUAUAGAAAAAACUCAUGUAGAUCACCAUGAAGGAAAGCAUUUUUGACAUCCAUUUGAGAGAUUUGCCAAGAUCGAGCUGCAGCCACAGCAAUCAGAGUACGAACAGAAAUUGAAACAACGCAACCAUACUAUCUAUUUACGAUAAUUUGAUUGCUGACAACACGACAACAUCACGCUUCUCUUUCUUAUUCUUAUUUAUAUAACUGUCACUUUACCGAGCCGGAAAAGUGACACCGUCACGUCUCAGGGUCGUAUGCCUGGAACAAGAAGGGUCGUCGUACAAUUUCGGCGAUUACAAAAAAGAAGGAGGCGAGCUCCCUAUCCCUCUUUGUCUUUCCACUUCCCUCGUUCAAGAACAAACACUUCGCCAAAUUCUUUUGAGUCCUGGCCCGGUUUUUCCCCACUAACCAAUUACGUUACGACCACUGAACAAACUUGGUUGACGAACAUGGUUUAUGCGCCGCUAAUCUAGCGGCUUGUCGAGCAUUUGACAAAUUCACACCAUCCAUUUCGAAUGGGAUUUGUCCCGUGGACACACGAGCAAUCCAACCCGUCGGAUUUCCUUUUCCUCUUCCCAUUCAAACUUCUGCGGGUUUCCCCGUAAUAGGAAGAUCUGCGAGAACUCUUACCCAUAUCUUACAAUUUCUUCGGAAUUGUCCGCUCAUAGCAUGAUGGAAUUGUCCAAUUGUAGCCCGACGCGCUGCUUCAAUGGCUCGAUAUGAAAGACGACCAGCUCUACAACUUUUGGUGCCAUAUCUUCCAAAACCAAGUUGUGUACCAUCCGGUUCGCGACCCCUACUACAUCUGCAUUUAAAAUAUUUACUAUAUUUCGUACGUUUAGGAUAUAGCACGUCCCUUCUUAUUUUGACUAUAUGAGAUCCGCACUUUGACACCUGAAAUUCCGUUACGAGUAGAUACUUCCGUAGGAGCAUAAUCGAUUUUCUGGUUAAAUACAUUACAAGAUGUUUUUCCAUACUUUCCGCAUUCAGUUCUAGCUAUUUCCGCACUCCCUAAUCGACCAGAACAACAAAUACGUAUCCCCUCCACCCCUUUUGGCAUUAUUAAUGGAAUAUCCUUCACUAUUUUACUAAAAAUGGAACGAAAUGAGAUUGGAUUAUUCCUUAGUUGAAAAGAGAUGUCUUGAGCAAUCAGAGAAGCACUUUGAUAAACAGAUUUGAUCUUUACCGACUCAAUUAAGGUAUUAGUGUUUGUUCUAUUAGACAAAAAAGAUCGCAUUUUUUGCACUUCGUUCAAAUAAGAGUUGUACCCGUACGGAAUUAUCCUCUUUCUCAGUAUGAUCUCUAUCAUCAUCUCUAUUCCCUUUAUCAAUUUUCCUAUCCUACCUAGGUCUAUGAAUUUCUCUAUCAAUUCCAUUACCCAUGAGGUUCCUACAUUUGAUCCUAAAUUGAGCUAGGAGUUGUUUCCGGGCAUACUCAAAAAAGGGUUAUUAUACACCCCAACCCCAUCCCUUGGAAAAAAGAAGGUAGCACCGAAGAAAGGAAAGAGCGAUAUGGUAGUUUUUGUUGUUCCCGCGAAGCAAAGAUCGUUCGCUUGGCGAAUGAAGUGGAUCAACCUCUUUUUGGCUCGGGCCAAACACUUUUUCUCGCUCGUAGAGCUUUCUAAAAAAAGCGAUGCGAGAGCGUAUUCUCUUAUCUAAGCUUCCUCCCUUCGCUCCCCCCAUCGUAGAUGGUUCAGCCACACCCGAUGCCACGAAAUGAUUGAGAACUAGGACGGGGUCGAAAUGCAUUUUAUUCUUAGUAUUAAAAAGGUAUUGCAUGACCGAAUAAUUCAAGGAGGGGCGCACAGCGGGGAGGCUCCUUUUUAGUAGAUGACUCGUCGGGCCGUCAGAGCGGGACUUCUUUGGUAAAAACAACUUGAUUCUAUUCCUUUUUAGUAAGGAGGCGGCAUUUCCCAUAAGGAAAGGUAUGUCAUUUACAACCCCGGCGUAUUGAGGCCGCUUGAAGGCCCCGCUCACCCGAAGUGAUUUAUCAAAAUUCUUCUUUCUCGAUGGUGAUCGGUCAUGGUAUCCAUAACGUUGCAUCUUUUUCGGCCAAAUCCGGAUUUCGUUUUGCUUCUCCCGGUCGAUCGACUCGACUCUUUUCCCUGCCCCCCGGCCUCUCACUUCGUUUCGUUCUUCCUCUGUACCCUCGCUUGAAUGAAGACACCCGAUCGGCCCGACUUUCCCAAAUGUCGGCCACCAGCCCUUUUCCUGUAGUACGGGUCUUGAUUUCUUGUAUUUUUUUCGUUUUAGUCGUGGUGAUCACCCGGGAGGAAAGAAAUGAAUGAAUGUCCUUUUGGGAAAAUGUAGAAUAAUACACCUACCGAGACGAAAGCCAAGGGCGAGUUUCGUAGGUGGACGUAUCGAACUAAAAUAAGAUCUAAGAUUGACAUCUUGAUACAAUGAUUUACCAUAAUAAUAAAUAGAGUCAAUGGUGACAGAGCCGUGGGAAGAGCUGCUUCUUUUUUGCGGCGGGGGCUUCCAUUCACCAGCGCAGACUACACUUAAGGGCGGACCAAGAUUGGAGACCCACCAAGCAGAGAACAAAAAGCCUAAGAGUGGUGACCAACCAUCUGCAAAAGGAGUAACAGAGCAAAGCGGAGAAGAGAAGGGGGAAGAAAAAAGGUUCCUAACUCAUUGGAUAGCUUAAUCUAUUGGUCAGGGAUCCCAUCUUUACUUUAUUUAGGUGCCUAGACUUUUCGGGGCAUGGGGUAGAUUUCACAGUCCUUUAAGUGAAUACGCCUUCUCUUUAUGUAUAGAGCUCUUAAAGAAUGGAUCAGCUCCUAGCGAAAAAGUCCAAGGUCUGAAUACCAAGAGCGGUCAAACACAGUGAUCGGUCCCGGACAAUGGGUAGAAAAGCCCGCCCUAUAAUCUGAAGUAGUCUUCGACUAGGUAUAUAAAAUGGACAAAAAGAAAGAAGGGGAGGAGAGGAGAUAGAUGCAUUUCACUAGGCGUAUAUGAUAUUGGAAAGAAUGGAAUCGAGUAAGCUUAGGCCAACCGAUAAGUCAUCUUUGUGUAACUUCCCAUAUGCCUACUUCUAAGCUAAAGUAAGGAAAUAGGGUGAGAUAAGCAAGAAUGAGCCGAACGAAGACGUAAGGUUUGUUUAGAUGUAGUCUUUGUGCUUUUCAAGUUGCUUCUUGCGAAAUCAACUAAGUUCGAAAAAGCCAUGCCCAGGUUUCCGAGAGUUUAGAUAAGAUAUGUCAGUUGUUGGAGGAUCAAUAUUAUCCAGGGGAUCCAUAUAUUAUGAGGGAGUAUAGAGAGGGGGUCUAGAGAUAGUACAGUCUGUAGUGAACCUAUUCAUUAAAUGGACUUUUCCCUUACCUCUCAUCAGCUUCCCUUUCCCUCGCCGGUGCAGUGCCAUCUGGAUACCUCAUAAAUAAAUCAAGUAGGCCGAGGGGCUAUCUUCUCUCCCAUGCUGGUGCCUUGCUUAACUCAAGUAUAAAGUGGAAAUUAAAGCCAAAAUACGGGGUGAUAAAAUUCCAUUUGAAUCUUGAGAUCCAAGAAGAAGGAUAGCUUCAUGAGUUCGUUCUGACUCCUAGCUUAGCUGGAAAGCUUUUGCUUGUAUCUGGCAGUGGGUGUAACAUCCAUCAUACUCAAACAGAAGAAGGUUUGCUUAUCUAGCUCCAAGGCAGUUAUAAUCAUUUACAGAACCAGGGUUUGCACCUACUGAGGAGGAGAAAGGGCCGACGACCCAUACUAGAACUCCAAGAUAAGAUCUUUCCGUCGAUCAGACGGCCGAGGCCUUUAAUAAGGUCCGGUUGUGCCAACGAGUUCUUCUAGUUAUGAAUCGCCGUAGGGAGGUAGCAUUACAUUUUUAUUAGCAAAAUAGAGCUCCUCAUAGAAAAGAAUGGCGAAGAAAGUGUUAGAGUACUUUCUUUCUGUUCAGUCCUAGAACUUAUUCUUUUCCGAUCGACCUAUCAACAGUAGCGAUCAUACCCCGUCGAGCGAGUUAGGAGCUGCUCACAAAGAAGGCCGAAACCAGAUGAGAUGGCCGAAGAAGAUACCAGAGAAUAGGUUCCUUCACCAAAGUCUACUUUAUUUUAGAAUUCAAAUUCAAUUGAUGCCGCACAGGCUGACCAUUUAAAAUAGGUGGAAACGGGAGACUGGAGAAGAUGAUCACACUUUGGAAGAGAGACAGUCGCGUACCUGCCCCGGGAGGGGGCUUUUGUUCGAUACAAUCACUGAACUCAACCGCUUAGACUGGAGAUGGCACUUGAAAACUCGUACAGAAAUCUAUCAACUUGACUUAGAGGAAGAAGUGGCAGGGGGUAGGUCGGCUGUUUUACGUCCGGAUGGUUCCUCUUGUUGGCAUGGCGUUGGUAUGCCUCGCUAUCCUUCAACUCUAGAUCCGCCAUCCUUCAAAACAACAACUACCAAAACACGAACUCAACGGCUUAGAACCGUAAACCAUAUACCUUCUCGGUAAAACACAUCUCAAACAGAUUAUUAUUGAAAUGAAUGGAUUUUAUCGCCUUAAGUAAGAGAAAAGGUUUGUGCUUUCGCCAGAAAUUGACUACCUACCCAUUGAUUGGAUUUCUUCUUCUCCCAGAUCCAAUAGAUGUUUCCAAUGAGUCAUUGCCAACUGCUUUAGCAGGAAUGAUCGAAAGCAGCAGGGGUUUAGUGAUCAAGCUCUCACUUUAAAUUCCCUACCAGCAAUACCAAUCCCAUGCUCUUCGAUGGGCCUUACGCUCUGAAAAGAAUCCUUCUAAGCUUUCCUCCUAAAAAGAACCUAUGUUCCAUUAUAGACAUAGAAUCUAUCGUUGACCUACCCAAAGUCUUCUUUUGGUUCCUAGAACCAUGCAGGAAAAUCACUUGAGCAGUGACAGGUCAGCAUUAAUGGUUUUGAGAUGAAAAAAAUCAGUCAAACAACACUGGCAGAUUGGCAAAUCGGGACCUUCACACUUGACCAUCGUAAAGGGAUCGUUGUUGCUUGGUCGAUCGAUCCGUCCUUCCACCCCAAAGCUGGUAAUCCAGAUCAGAGUUCUUUGGAUGGCAUGUAAUGGAUUUCAUUAUGAAAAGGGUCAUUUUUUAUGUUGUAAACUUCAUAUCCAGAGAAAUGGAUGACUGGCUGAGGGACAUAUAGAUUACUUCAGAUCUCCACCUUCCUAUGCUAUGUAUGCCAACCUUGAUCUAAUAAGUGGUCUUAAUUAAUAUGCAAGAUAGGAUAAUAUUAUACAAAUGGCUGGUUUUGUUCAAUACUUAGGUAGGGCUGACUACGCCACCUCAGCAGCUGGGACUGGAAUUGCUUACAAUGCAUCUGGCCACUGACUGAAUUUGAAGUAGGGCCAGUGUAUAAAGACCGGCUUAUCUCUCUUAAGACUUAGUCCACUUUCUACUAGAAUCAGAUUUUCUAGUUUGCAAGCAUGUGUGCCAGCUGUAACAAAAACUUACGGCUUAGGUGGAUUUCUUUAGUCAGUCUAUAACUCAGGCUUUUCUUUAUAGGACUCCCACACAAGUAAGUAGCUAGCUAGCUGCUAUUUCCAAAGCCAAAAACACUCCUGCAUUCGAAAAGGCGAACCGCGCGGACCCGACUUCUUCCUUUUAUGCUGAAACUAGGGCUCCCUCUGGGUAAUUCUACCUAUCCGUUUGGACCACGUACCUAGAUCAAGUCAAUCAUUUCAAUCUAAGUUGUCCUCACCUACAGCAAAAACAGAAGAAAGCAACAAGUUCUCCGUUUCCUGUUCCCAAAGGGUGUGAAUGGAAUCAAUAAUUUUAUAUAUAUAUAUAUAUAUAUAAAGUUGAAGUAAGUUGUAUGCAUUCGGUGCCCUCAAGUAGGUACGACUAUGGAUCAUUCUAUUCCUUUCCUUUAAGUAGUCCUAAAAAGCAAAACGUAAUGGUAGAGGAUGAAGGAAACAAAGAAUGAAGUCUGCACCUUUGACUACUGAUGAACCGCCAUUUCGUUCUUUUCUUCUUUGUUCGGCUUUCACAAGCAAGAUACCUUGAAGCAGGUGACAGUCUAUAGCCCAGGAGAGUACCAUUGCUGACAUGAUACAAUUGGCCUUCCCCUUCAGAUUUAUUUAGAACUUCAAGCGUUCAAGGCAAGGUUGUGCAAUCUCUCGUACCUGCGAGAAAAGGGCUUAUUUACUACUUUUUAUCGAUCAAUGGUCCACCAGUCCAAUCCAAUGAGUGGUAUCUGAGUAUCAUAGUAUCAUAAGAAAGUUCAUUUGUACACCCGCUUAUCUUUCUAUAGAAACUUAUCUCUAAAUGAUUUUUAGAUAGGAUGUUUCUGGAAUUACCCCUUCUACGUAGAAUAUGAUAGUGUCAACGUCCUUCAUUAUAGUACCGAAGAUGCUCGUAGGCUGGUCAAUGGAAAGGAUGGCUUUUAUUCAAAGAGAUGGAGAUCCUGGUUUAGCAGCGGUUGCCCGUCCUUGGGUUUAUGUCAAGCUUUUCGUAUUAAGCACUGGGAGCAGAGAAAUCCUAGGGUUGCUUUGUCUUCCUCUUCUGUUCUUAAAUAUAACUGAAAAGCAUCAUGUUUCUUUAGUUGCCUCAAAGCUCAGGAUCUCCCCAUGUUUCUUCUGGAGAUGUGUCAGUGGCUUUGCAAUGAUGCCGAAAUGGCGAACGAAGCGCCUGUAAUAGCCGGCCAAACCUAAGAAGCUACGGACUUCUUUGACUGAUUGUAGAGAAGACCAGUUGGCAAUGUUCUUAAUUUUGUGGGUUUCAGUGGCAACCCCAUGCUGGCUGAUAGUAUGGCCCAAAUAGGAUAACUGGCGUUGAGCGAAAGAGCACUUUGAGCGUUUGACUUGCCAUUGAUCCCUUCUUAACAACUCAAGCACUGAUUGCAAGUGGAUUGUGUGAUCUUCAAGAGAGGCGAUGUAGACUAAAAUGUCGUCAAAUAACACCAGGGCGCAUUUGCCCAGAAGGGGUUUGUUUGAGAGUGGCGUUCAUGGCUCCCAAGAAGGUGGCUGGUGCUCCUGCAAGGCCGAAGGACAUGACCUUGUACUCGUAGUGCCCUUCCAGAGUCUGGAAGGCUGUUUUGAAUUCAUCGCCAGCUGCCAUACGAAUCUGGUGAUAACCAGCUCUGAGAUCAGGUUUAGAAAACCAUGAGGCACCAUACAUCCAGGAGUUCUUCGACUAUGGGCACUGGAUACUUGCUGACGACAGUCAUCGCAUUUAGACAGCGAUAAUAAAUACAUAAACGCCAGGAGAAAAAAAAUAAGAUUUUUGGUCAUAGAACCCCUGGUACCAAUGUUUAUAGAACUGUCCAGAAUUGAUAAAGAGAAGCAGCUUUGAAGUCAUGGAGAACGAAAAUAGGACCCUGGCUCGAUCCCAUCUAGUGAUUAAAGGUAAAGUGCUUCGGUACAUUGGUGCAGGGGAAUGCGUACCUACGCCUUUUAACUACCUUGGGGAGAGCGGACUCGCUGAUGACCCUCCUUGGGAAACAAAUGAAGUGGGUGGAUUGGAGUUCGUCUCCGCCAAUUAGAGAUACGGUGCUGACCCAAGCUGAGUGAGUGAAGGCUCCGGCUUGACCUACUAGCUGUUUGCUAUCAAUAAAUAACUAGCUAACAAUAUGGUAUGCUUACUCUCCGAGCACUAAAGCUAUCAAGAAGUGAUGCAACAAAGGUUGUUGAAGGUAAAAACCGUCAAACAGAGAAAUCUUAAUCGUCAGAACAACGCUGAACCUAACUUGUAAAAGAGUUGGUAAGAAAGUGCAAACGUUGAGUAAGAAAUCGCCAUAGGGCAGCACAAACAGAAAGAAAGGCUUCUGCCAAUCGAAAUAGGAAUGCGAAAUCCCAGUAAAAGGGUGUUCAGUCGAAGAUAGGAGGAUUCCUUUGAUCCAUACCGUCAUCUGACGGACUUCCUGCUAACUUCGUCAAUUGCUCUUUAUCGCUUAAUAGAAGGGAAAUUUCAUGAGAUAGAUGAAAAAAUGAAUAUCAAUCGAGAAAAUGCUUAAAUAGACACAAUUCGUAAUAGAUACAAUUCGUAAGGAAGAAGUGAUCAAAAGUACGAGGUCGGCAUAGGAGAUAUGAUGUGUCGGAGGCAGAAGGCACGGAGAAGUCAAGAUCUUCCAAGAUAACCCAUUCUGAUGCCUAUAAAAUCAGGUGCACCGCGUCUAUACUACAAAAGUGUGAUAGGUUUCUUCAUAUUUCUUCCGCCGACAUCGCUUUCUUAUUCCUAACACAAUUGUUUAGCUAAGUUUGCUAACGAAUCAGGGAGAAUCAACAACGAACACCGCAUUUUGAAAAGGAGACGUGAUUUAUUCCUACCGUCCUGAACACGUCUAGAAACAGCAACCUCAUACAUAAUACCAUUUCGCAAAUAAGUAUCCACUUUCAAGUCGGGGUGAUACUUACUAAGAUGUUGGGUCAUCAGAAUACCAUCGAAUCGACUCAUGUUAUGAAAGUAAAUAAUUAGUGACUUUCUUUGUUUGCUUACAACAGAAAGUAUUCCAUUUAUGAAUGCUUGGAGUACACAAUCACUUUGAUCAUAAAAUGGUGGGUGCAUAUUUAUGUAUUCAUGGGAACUAUAAUGAUUAAUAUAAAUCUUUGAUAGUUUCUUGUCUGAAUUGACAGUCAUAAAGGCGGCUGCAUAAGCGUGGUGGCGGGGAAGAUUUUGGAUUCUAUUAUCUCCGCGGGAACAUAGUUCCGAUCCAACAAGGGAAUGGUUUCAAUGUCACCUACAAGGAAUACUGAUGGUUUAGGAGGUUGCCCUUUAUAAUCAGGGUCUGCUUCCAGUUCCUUAAGGUAUUUAUCAAUUUUUAGCUUAUUCUUAUUUGGAAGUUUGGUAAUGUAUGAUGGGAAUCUGGAAUUAUUUUUACAUAUAGGUUCUUCCGCAUGAUUUUCCAUAUCACUUUGUGAAAAAAAGAGAUCUCAUUAAUGCUUCUCAAAAUAGUUAUAGCAAUCCCUCGCCAUCUGAGCCAGAACGAAUCCCAGUCAAAUCUCUAAAUGCUUUUGGCAUUCUUUUCCCUCGCAUUUCCCUAAUUCUUUUAUUAAUAUGGGAAUGGGAGCAAAUGAGGAGGCAUCGAGUCGAAGAAAUGAAUUGCUCUUUGCUAGUGGAAAUGGGGUUCUUGUCGUCAACGAAGUAACUGCUCUAUUUGGAGAGUGGAGCCAGCCUCAAAGCCGCCUUGGUUCUAUAGUAAUCUCUCAGCGUUUGAGUUGACUAAUCCGAUGGUACUUGAAGAAGAGUGAAACGACGAGAUUUCCUUACAGGAGGAGAAAGGGAUUCCUGUUGCUUUUGGGUGGGUCCAAUCAAGGUACGAAAAAACUCUUUUCCCACGGCUCACUAAUACGAUCCUAUCUUACCAUUCUUCUAUCCUUCUUCAUCACGGGACAGAAGCAUAACGUUGAUCUAUGGACGAAGGAAGGUAUCAGAAAAUUCAUUAUGACCUAGACCUAAACCAGGCUGAUAUUGAACAGAGGAGGAGUUCUUGUUACUACUUCUCGCUGGCACCAAAAGAAGU